AAGAGAAAUUAUGAAGAGAUAUUUACAUAUUACAGGAGAAGCGCAAAUAAAUUUAUAUCAUGUAUUUGUGAAUUUACAAAAUAAGCAAAUAAAGGCAGUGAAAAUUGUUGGCUUAAAUGGGCCAGCAUUCUGCCCUGUGGCGGAAUGUCAUGUUGAGCCGAGUCAUGUUCGAAAUGGCGUGAGGCUGGGUGGGCCGACUCAUGUUCGAAGUGGCGUGAGGCUGGUUGGGCCGAGUCACAAUCGAGACUCGUGGGCGCUGUAUCUGUACGCUUUAAGUGAAUUGGUUGCGUAUUUCUAACAACUCGAGCUUCUGGGAUUAAUGGUUAGCGCCAACGAUCCAACAAAAAUGUCAACGAAUGGGAUUCAAAUCAUUGAAUCUGUUAAAUGCAUAAAAUAAUAAAGUCGUGCAGAAAGAAAGUUGAUAGCUAGUCAAGUCUGCAGACAUAAUUUAACAGAUUAGAAGGGAAAAACCUAACAAAGUAAGAAAGAAAACUGAAGAAAACAAGAAUGAAGUUUCAUAAUCGCCGUAAAUCAACUGAUGUGAAACUUUAUAAAAAGAAGUACUUCUAGACCCUUUCUUUGAAAUGAGAUUUUGUUCUUAGUUGACUGUAGCAGACUAACUCAUAAAAACAGUUGGGAAUUAAUGAAGUAAUUCUUUUAGAAACUUCAAGUGUAUAGCAUUUAGCAACAGUAAAGAUGGCACAAGAGAAAGAAAGUUGUUUCUUCAGUCCCUUCUUCUUAGUCCUUAGAACAUGUUUUUUCUGCUUUCUGGAAAUCGAAAGUUUUUCAAAACUGUCCAAAGAAUUUCUUUUCAAACUUUAGAAGAACUUUUACGCCGUGAGAUUAAUUAACUUCCAUAUGAUGGUUUGUAACGACCCGACCCGCUAGCAAUAAUAACUAGUUGGACUAAAACCAGCCCAAGAUCACCAGGCGAUAUGAGACUCGUCUUGCUAGCCUUGUCAUUCCGACCCUAAUUUAGCCUGUCAUUCUACGACCCUGACUUAGUCUGUUAUUUCAAUCCUGGCUUAGUCUGUCAUUUCGACCUUGGCUCAGUCAAGACUCAUUUCACACUUUCGGCUAGUGAAUCAGCUCUGAUACCAAAUGUAACGACCCGACCCGCUAGCAAUAAUAACUCGUUGGGUCAAAACCGUCGGCCCAAAAUUUUUAAGUCCAGUUUUUAUGUCUAGCCUAUUCAAACUUAUAUACCCCCACAUCUAACCAUAACUAUCCGAUGUGAAAUUAUUGGAGUGUCAAAUGGUUCGCGACGGACAGAAACAAUUAAUAGCAUAAAAGAGAAACCAGCAUGACACCACUGAGGAGAAUCCGAGAAUGGCAUUGGCAGCAGGUUAUUACCUGAAGAUUCAAGGCUUUCUUUUUAAGAUCUUGAGGUAAGAGAGGAUUCUGGGGAUACUUGUCUUCCAAAUACUGCCAAAUCCAAAGAAAACAAUUUUACUGAAUAACAAUCUAAUCCCAUGAAUUUCCAUUAUCAUGAUAUCUAAUAAACAAAAAUCCCAUAAGUUAUGCUAAUAUUUAAAGCAUAAAUAGCCAUAAAUCUUAUAUUCACCAAUAUGAUUGCAAACGAAUCAGCAACUACUAUAUCCCCAUCAACUAGUGCAGGGACAUAUUUAACUGGAUUGAUCUUCUCAAACUCUGCAAAGAACAAUAGUUAAAAAGAAAAAAAAAAAAAGGGUUAAAUAUGGAUUACCUUCGCAUAGUAUCGAUAAUUGAGGCAAAAGAUUUCUCAUUUAUAUCAUAAUAGACAAAAAAAAAAAAGCAUAAAUUUGCAAAAGUGAACCUUUAAAAAAAAAAAAAAUCAAGUUUCAAUAAAAUUAUUGGUGGAAUGUUACUAUCAAACACACUUACUAGUGAAAUCUACUUUUUAGUUCAAUAAAAGAAUUUGAUUAGCUUCUUCACACCUGGAUUCAAUUGCUCGCCUUUUAGAAGAUUCACUGCUUUGUACUCAUAAUCCAACCCUUUCACACAGGAAAAGAAAAAGAAAAAAAAUCAAGUUAGGCAUGAUUAAAUUCCAAUAAAAUAGAGUAACUUAAUUAGAGAAAAUUGCAAUGAAAUUAGAGAAAAUUGCCAAUGAAACUAAGGAUUUGGCCUUCAAAAGUUUGAAUUCCUAAUAUAUAACCCCUCUAAACUUUCAAAACUUACAAAUUCAUCACUCUCUAUUGCUUCACCAAUUAAACUCAAACAUUUCUUGCCAAAAAAAAAAAAACAAAUCAUUCUACCAUCAAAUAAAUAUCUUUUUAAAUAUUGUUGCCGUCAUUGUUUAUUUCUAAUGUCUCUUUCUAUCUCUUCUCUGUGAAUAACAAAAUCCUAAACCUUUAAAAGAUGAUAAAGUUUAUUCCAAGGGCAUAAAAGCCCUAAUUAUGAAAAAUUACUCAACUAGCAGGGACUAAUUAAUCUGAAUAGUUAAAACUUUGAAGGAAUGAAUUACAAAAUUAAAAAUUUGCAAGAACAAAUUGCAUUUCAAAAUUUUGCAGGGAUAUAUAAUGCAUUUUCUCUUAGGGACCUAUUUUGUUCAGUUGUAGGGUAUAGCGCUGUAAGAUAUAAGUAUUGUCUACGCAGUGCUUUAAAAUCAAUAUUUUCAUAUUAAAGUCCCGCAGAAGCAUUAAAUUGGCGCUUUUGCAUUUGGACCUCAGACUCUCAAUUCUGAUUCCUGCUGCGGUACAAGUACUUUUAUGUUAGCCAAACGCUCUACUGAAAAUAUAUUGGCGUCAAAUAACACUUAACAAAUUGAUAAAAUUACUGGGAUAGAGCCAAACUUUCCGAGAAUAAGAGUUAAAAGACAACAAACGGUAAAUGUAUUAAAAGUUUUAGCUUCACUAUCCAACAUUUUAAUGCAUUUGAUUCGAGCCGUUUAACACCAUUUUCACUUUAGAAUUCGGAUGCGACAUUUAUAUUAAAGAGUUUAAGGGCCUAUUUGGUAUUAAAGCCCAUUGAACGCCUUCAGUCCGAUUGCAGAAAAUAUACCGUAACGAAUUCAUUACAAAUAUAUCAUAACUAAUUCAUUGCGAUAUAAAGAAAGCGACGUAUGAACACAGUAAAAAAUAGAUCGUAAUUGAUUCAUCACGACGAUGUACGAAACUAAAUAAAAAAUUUUCUAUCGUAUUUUUUCAUCGCACUUAACAAAAACGAAGCCUAAUUUGAGUAUUUUUCGUGAUUUAUAAGACUAAAGAUUUGUAAAAAAAAAAUUAGGAACUGAAAGUAAAUUUUUGAAAGGCAGGAUGAUCGGAUCAGAGCGAAUCAUAGUUUGGAUUAUCCGGGAAAAAAAAAAGAAAAAAAAAAGGGAAAAAAAAAGAGAAAAAAAAGAGAAAAAAAAGAGAAAGGACCUUUGAGAUUGAGGGCGAUGCGGGCUCGUUGAGAGCAGGAGCUCCGCCAGUAGGAGUAGAGAGUGAGCUUCUCCCCCGAAUCCCCCAUCUCAUGUAAACACAAGACGCAGUAAUGAAGAUGGAGAGUCAAGAAGGGAUUAAUUAAUUAAGAAGAAAUUAUGAUGGGGGAAGGAGACGUGCUGCAUUGCAGCUUGUUGAUUUUAUAUAUAUAUAUAUAUAUAUAUAUAUAUAUAUAUAAUAUAUAUAUAUAUUAUAAAUAUAGAGUGAGGCUACUAUGCUAUCGGAAGCACGGAGCCUUCUUGCUUCCAGCUGUUUUCAAUGUUGCGACUUCGAAUCGUCGAUCGGCUCCGUUAAAUUUGAUCUAGAGUAUUUGAGGUACCUAGAAAUAAAUUUUAUGAUUUUACGAUAUUAUUUGCCUAGUGAACGAAGGGGCUCAAAUCAACGGUUGAAAAUAAAAAUCUUACAAAAUGGAUAAUAUGACAUUAAAAUUUUAAACAAAGAUAUUGAUCGUUUUUAUAGUAUAAAGAAUUUUUUAUCAAAAUUUCACAUGAUUUGGAUAUUCUACGCCAUUAAACUUGCAAACGCUCACUACGGUCAUUGAAAUUUGUUGAUUUUGAGCCCAUUCGAUCACUAGGCAAAUGAUAUCGAAAAAUAAUAAAAUUUAUUUUUUAUGUACUCCAAAUAUUCUAGAUCAAGUUUAACGGAGCCGAUCGACGAUUCGAAAGUCACAAAUCGAAACGAGCUGGAAGACACGAAGGGCUCCGUGCUUCAGAUAGUAUAGUGCCUCAUAUUUACUAUAUAAAUAUACCUAUAAUAUACUAUAUAUAUAUAGAAUUAUGCUACUAUACUAUCAAUAGUACCAACCCCUUGAUACUAUUGAGUUUUCGACCGUUGGAUGAAAGGAUGUGCGGUUAGGAUAAUAGUGAUCCCCGGUUAAAUUGAUAGUGGUCCCCUAGGGUUGAGUGGGUGGUUGGUUUAAUAGUAUAAUCUAACGGGUGGAAAUUAUCAAAGAAUAGAUCUAACGGUAGAAAACUCGAUAGUACCAAGGGCUUGGUACUAUCGAUAGUAUAGUAGCCGGAAUCUCUAUAUAUAUAUAUAGGCUUAUGCUACUAUACUAUUAAUAGUACCAAGCCCUUGGUACUAUUGAGUUUUCGGCCGUUGGAUGAAAGGAUGUGCGGUUAGGAUGAUAGUGGUCCCCGGUUAAAUUGAUAGUGGUCCCCUAGGGUUGAGUGGGUGGUUGGUUUAAUAGUAUAAUCUAACGGGUGGAAAUGAUCAAAGGGUAGAUCUAANNNNNNNNNNNNNNNUCACUAGGCAAAUGAUAUCGUAAAAUCAUAAAAUUUAUUUUCUAGGUACUUCAAAUACUUUAGAUUAAGUUUAACGGAGUCGAUAGACGAUUCAAAAGUCGCAGCAUCGAAAACGAACUGGAAGCACGGAAGGCUUCGUGCUUCCGAUAGCAUAGUAGCCUCACUCUAUAUAUAUAUAUAUAUAUAUAUAUAUAUAUAUAUAUAUAUAUAGAGAGAGAGAGAGAGAGAGAGAGAGAGAGAGAGAGAGAGAGAGAGAGUUUUGGCAGCCGGCCGGCUAGUUUUGGAACUUCUGUCUGCACUCUGCAGCGUGGGCGGUUAGUUCGGACAGCAGGCAGACUGCGACGCAACGGGCAAUUGUUUUUUUUUUUUUUUUUUUGAAAGAUAGGCAGCACGCUACCUAUUUCGUUAAUUUUAUUUAGAAGUAAACUUAGCUAAAGUUAUGAAUCAAUUAGGAUUCUCUCGGGUACCAACCACCAAACUCUUUGCCACUUGCUCUAGGGACGGUCGGUCGCAACGGGCAAUUGUGCAUCGCACUAAAGGUGGGGUUUGGUUUGGUAGAAGGUAAGACUCCUCAAGAGAUUGUGGGAAUAAUGCUUUACUAGUAUAGUAAUCUGUGCAACAAAGGAAGAAAAAACACUGAUAAAAAAAAUGACGAUAAGAGAUGAAAUUCAUCUUGCAAAUAAAGAAAGAUAACAGUCGAAGAAAAUGACAGAGAAAAUAGAGAUGUGAGCCCGAUUCUAUUUAAAUAAAAAAAGAAUCCGAUUUGAUUCAAGCAAAAAAAAGAAAAAUAUGCGGAGGACUUACGCGGCUCGGGGGAACCGACACUCAAUAAUAAUUGAUUUGGUUCAAGUAAAGAAAAAGAAAAAUUCAGUUGAUUCAAGUAAAAAAAAAAUAUGGAGGACUUGAGUCGGUUCAAAGUAGAGCUCAUAUCCAAUAAUAAAGAGAAUUUUAUCAUGUGGCAAAUUUAGGGAGAAUAAUGUAUAGGUAUAGAGGUAUAGAGGUAUAGAUAUGCGGCGGGAAGAUAUAAUAAAUAAGAAGAGGUUUUGCUUAUUUCUUUUUAUUACUAUUCAAAAUUUUUAAAUUUACUCUUAAAUAUCCAAAAUAUCCUUAAUCAAUCAAAUAUAAAUGCCAUUUGAAUGUUUCAGCAUGUCACAUCAUUGACCUAUUCAAUAUAUUGCUAUCUUGGUCAAUUGAAUGUAACAGUAAAUGAAACUAGUAGAUGUUUAUCCCUGUAAAAUUAUCUGUUUACAUACAUUCCCUUGAAAGAAAAAAACAUAAUAAUAAUCAAACUCUCAUAUAUGAUAUAUGCCUUCAGAAACUCUUUUCAAACACACAUACACAGAUAUUAUAAAGUUAUAUAUAUCAUUUUAUUUUUUUUAGAGUGGAUGCACAUGUAAAUAGCUUAAAUGCAAUUUACAUGAUGAUAAAAAUUCAAAAGUUUCAGGUGCAUAUUUGUCAAAGGAAAAAGCUGUAUAUGUGUAUAUAUAUAUAUAUGAAUAAGAAUCAGAAUCAGAACCAUUCCAACACAUACUUGUUUAUUGCCUAUUCAUUUCCUACUAAUAAUUUAUUAUUACCACUACCCAUCAAAUUGUGUUGGAAUAGAACUCAACUCAGCUGUUUGAUGGAAGCAACAUUCAUUUCUUAGACAUUUUACUCCUCUCCCACAAGUGUCAGAAACAAAAGCCAUGGCAGCAGAUGAAGAGGUAGGGCAAAAUUUAUGUAGGAAUGAGUGCUAUUGAUAUCUUAAUCUAAAGUACAUGACAUACUGUGAAAGAGAUUGUAGUGAAAACAAUGCUGUUGACAAUUAACCUCCCUUGCGCAAUGUUACCGUCAGCAAACCGUAAAACAAUCGCAGAAUACAAUUCUAACUACCAGCUAAAAGACAUUUAUAAGGUAAUUAAGAGGGUGGAAAAGUAUAUCUACAAGUUACUUUCCUCCCAUACGACGACUAUAGUUGGUAUUUGAAAUUACAUUAAACAUUUUCUGACAUAUUGAGAAUUAACAGAGUUGCAGAAGGAAAUGAAAUAAUAACUGCUCAAAUAUUGAGAAGAUUUUCGGCAGAAUUUUGACACUAUAGGAGGUAAUUAAAGUGCAAAGACUGACUUUCAAACUUAAAAUAAGAAAAAGAAAACAAAAGUUCAGGUCUGGGACUACCACUUUUGCACUCAAUUGAAUAUAUUAUAUACCAAAUCCUAGAAAUUUAUUGUAAUUAAUCGCGACCAUAACAAUGUAAAAGAUUUCUGAAACCUUGAACUUUUAAUGCUAUGUGAACAAGUCAUAUGAAGCAUUACAACACUUGGGGUAUCAAUUGUCCCUUGAAGGCGGAUUACUAACAAUAUACAAAGAAGUAACCACAAAGUCUUGCGCUUUUAUUGAUAUCGAAGCAUAUCUUGAAGUUCAUAACCGUGAGAUUCAAGCACAUACACAUACAUAUUUUUUGCUCAGCUAGUAGAAUCUUAUAGACUUUUUUAUUCUUGAUGACAUACGCUGAGUGGGCGAUCCAACUUCCGCUGAGGCUGCUAAGGUGAGGAAGGCGCGUCCGGUUGUCUUUCAGGGAGUGCGGCUUGAAAUGCGGGUAACUCCAUAUAGGCUUCGUGGAGCCUUGCCAGCGUAGGAUAAUUAGACUGCAAGGAAUGAAGUACGGAGAUCAAAUUAGUUCUCAAACCAACUGCACAUAAAAAUUUUAAGAAAACAAGCUUAAAGCAUAAGGCGUCAAAUUAGUUUAGCUAUUUCUGUAACCGCUAGCCAGGAAUAUUCAAUCCAUAUGUUUUCAACAGUGCACAAUUCUUGUGUAAUUAAACUUCAGAAAUUUCCGCCUUCCAUGGACUAUUUGAUUGCAUAAAGAAUAAAAUCGAAUUUCUAGUUCUUGAGAUUGCUGCAUAUCUGUCCUCAAAAGACACUUUUUCAUCGACAGACACUGCACGCAUAUGGCAUGAACAGGUGUUUAUUUGAACUACUCUAAAUCCUGGAUCGCCUUAACUAAGGCCUCAAAUCGACAAAAUAGCCCUUGUUUUUUGUAUCAACGCUGUUGACAAAAGAACUAGAAAGUAGUUUUACGGGCCAAGCUUUUGCCAACAUUUAUAAGGCUUUGAUGCAAUAGGAAAUAGGUUAUAAUGGUUAGCGAAAGGGCAUAUAUGUAGAUAUGGGCGCACGAAAAUUUGUGCACUUUGAGGGGCGAAUAUGCAAAAAAUCACUUUUAGCCAAUACCAAUUAAAAGCUACCAGUAACUUAGCAAAAGAGGUAGAAACAAAACUACCAUGUCAAUUGCAAAGCGCUUCACUCCCGCAUAAAUUUGGGGUGCUAGAAACACAUCUCCCUGCAUGUGAAAAUCAUCAAAUAGUAGCAAUAUAUUGGUAAGUUGUGAUUUAUAUGAACUGCAGUUUGCAUAAUACAUGCAAUCACGCAAUCACAAUCCAUGUCAUGAUAUUUUGAUCAACAUAUAUAAACAGAUUUAUGUAAGUGCACUGGCGAAAAUCUGGUCCUACUAAAUACUAAAGAUCACCAAAGCUCACAAGUAUGAUGAGUAUGAGAGGAGAAUGGUUGUCGAUCAUUGAGAAAUUUAUGAAGAAGAGUUACAAGCACAAUAUUAGACGUAUAAAGAAUAAUGUUAAACCAAUUAAUGUGUUAAUCAUAAACUUAUAAAGUUACUGUUCGAGAGUAAAUGUUCUGCUAAUAUACGGUUUAUUAAUGUAGCGCAUCCAAUAGUAUCUAUACUUUAUAAGUUGCAACACUAGACGAAAAAAUGAUAGUAAACUAAUUUCACUAUUGCAACCUAACUAUAAAUAGCAGCUAAAUAAAAUUCAGGUUUUGGCAGGCAAACCAAUAGGACUUCAUCUCCUGUAGCAUAUUUUCCAGCAACACCAGCCAACAGUUUCUCAAGAGCUGAAGCAAAAUCAAACAAAAGAAAAAUAAGUUCAUUUAAAAUGUAAAACACUUGUGUCAAAGAAUAAAAUCGAGUACAGGCUUAUAGCUAACCGUCCAGAGCUACAAUACAACACUGAUAGAAGGGCAGAAAUCAACAGAACAAUGAGUGAACUCAAGAAGACAGCAUGCGGUAACAAGAACACAUGCAAAUGUACGAAGGUCUAUGUCUAUCUCUCAUGUUAUGUUCUCAACAACAUACCGAAAGAUUUUAUUCAUUUACAAGAAGAUAAUGGAUAUAAGCUAACCCGUGAAUCCUUUGUUGAUUUGAAGUUGAGCCCAUUGAAGUUUUUUCUCAGAACCAAGAUUUUCCUCAAUGUAUUGCUAAAAAGUUAUAUUAAUCUAUCAGCAAGUAUGAAAUGAUUUUUAACAAUAUGAACUGAGUUCUGUAUAGUAGGGGCCCUGCAGCUCGUAACUCACCAGUACAGUAAGACUCCGAAGAGGCUGAAUACUUGAACUGACAAUACUUGCUAUCUGUGAUGAGAAAUUAUGAAGAGAUAUUUACAUAUUAUAUCAGGAGCGGAGAUAACUAUCAUGUAUUUGUGAAUUUACAAAACAAGCAAAUAAAGGCAGUGAAAAUGUCAGUGAAUGGGCUUCAAAUCAUUGAAUUUGUUAAAUGUGUAAAAUAACAAAGCCAUGCAGAAAGAAAUUUGAUAGCUAGUCAAGUCUGCACACAUAAUUUAACAUAUUAGAAAGGAAAAACCUAAUAAAGCAAGAAAGAAAGCUGAAGAAAACAAGAAUGAAGUUUCAUUGUCGUUCGUAAAUCAAUUGAUGUGAAACUUUUUAGUAAAGAAGUACUUCUAGACCCUUUCUUUGAAAUGAAAUUUUGUUCUCAGUUGACUGUAGCAAACUAACGCAUAAAAACAGUUGGGAUUUAAUGAAGUGAUUCUUUUAGAAACUUCAAGUGUAUAGCAUUUAGCAACAGUAAAGAUGGCACAACAGAAAGCAAGUUGUUUCUUCUGCCUUUCUUCUUAGUCCUUAGAACAUUUUUUUUCUUGUGUUUUGUGGAAAUCGAAAGUUUUUCAAAACAGUCCCAAGAAUUUCUUGUCAAAAUUACAGGUUUAGUUUAGGCCUCCAAAACUUAGAAGAACUUUUUACGCUGUGAGAUUAAUUAACUUCCAUGUGAUGGUUCACGACAGAUAGAACAAUUAAUAGCAUAAAAAAGAAACCAGCAUGACAUCACUGAGGAGAAUCCAAGAAUGGUAUUGGCAGCAGGUUAUUACCUGAAGAUUCAAGGCUUUCUUUUUAAGAUCUUGAGGUAAGAGAGGAUUCUGGGGAUACUUGUCUUCCAGAUACUGCCAAAUCCAAAUAAAACAAUUCUACUAAAUAACAAUCUAAUCCCAUAAAUUUUCAUUAUCAUGAUAUCUAAUAAACGAAAAUCCCAAAAGUUAUACUAAUAUUUAAAGCAAAUAGCCAUAAAUCUUUUAUUCACCAAUAUGAUUGCAAACGAAUCAGCAACUACUACAUCCCCAUCAACCAGUGCAGGGACAUAUUUAACUGGAUUGAUCUUCUCAAACUCUGCAAUGAAAAAUAGUUAAAAAGAAAAAAAAAAGGGUUAAAUAUGGAUUACCUUCUCAUAGUAUCUAUAAUUGAGGCAAAAGAUUUCUCAUUUAUAUCAUAAUAGACAAAAAAAUAAAUAAUAAAUAAGCAUAAAUUUGCAAAAGUGAACCUUAAAAAAAAAAUUCAAGUUUCACUGAUAUAAUUGGUGCAAUGUUACUAUCAAAAACACUUACUAGUGAAAUCUACUUUUUAGUUCAAUAAAAGAAUUUGAUUAGCUUCUUCAUACCUGGAUUCGAUUGCUCGCCUUUUAGAAGAUUCACUGCUUUGUACUCAUAAUCCAACCCUUUCACACAGGAAAAGAAAAAGAAAAAAAUCAAGUUAGGCAUGAUUAAAUUCCAAUAAAAUAGAGUAACUUAAUUAGAGAAAAUUGCAAUGAAAUUAGAGAAAAUUGCCAAUGAAAUUAAGGAUUUGGCCUUCAAAAGUUUUAAGUCCUAAUAUAUAUCCCUCUAAACUUUCAAAACUUACAAAUUUAUCCCUCUCUAUUGCUUCGCCAAUUAAACGCAAAUAUUUCUUGCCCAAAAAAAACAAAUCAUUCUACCAUCAAAUAAAUAUCUUUUUAAAUAUUGUUGCCAUCAUUGUUUAUUUCUAAUGUCUCUUUUCUAUCGCUUCCUUGUGAAUCACAAAAUCCUAAACCUUUAAAAGAUGAGAAAGUUUCUUCCAAGGGCAUAACAGCCCUUAUUAUGAAAAAUUACUCAAUUGGCAGGGACUAAUCUGCCAAGUUCAAACUUUGAAGGAAUGAAUUACAAAAUUAAAAAUUUGCAAGAACAAAUCGCAUUUUCAAAACUUUGCAGGGAUAUAUAGCGCAUUUGCUAUUAAGGACCUAUGUACUUCAGAUGUAGGGUGUAGCGCUAAGAGAAAUAAGUAUUGGCUAAGUAGUGCUUUUAAAUCAAUAUUUCAUAUUAAAGCCCCGUAGAAGCACCAAAUUGGCGCUUCUGCUUUUGGACCUCAGACUCUCAAUUCUGAUUCCUGAUGCGGUACAAGUACUUUUUUGUUAGCCAAACGCUAACGAAUUGAUAAAAUUACUGGGAUAGAGCCAAAUUUUCUGAGAAUAAGAGUUAAAAACCAACAAACGGUAAAUGUAUUAAAAGUUUUAGCUUCACUAUCCAACAUUUUAAUGCAUUUGAUGUGAGCCGUUUAACACCAUUUUCACUUUAGAAUUCGGAUGCCACAUUUAUAUUAAAGAGUUUAAGGGCCCAUUUGGUAUUGAAGCCCAUUGAACGCCUCCAGUCUAAUCGCAGAAAAUAUACCAUAACUAAUUCAUUGUGAUAUACAGAAACCGACGUAUGAACACAGUAGAAAAUAUACCGUAACUGAUUCAUUAUGACGACGUACGAAACUAAAUAGAAAAAUUUCUAUCGUAUUUUUUCAUCGCACGCAACGCAAACAAAGCCUAAUUUGAUUAUUUUUCGUGAUUUAUAAGACAAAAAAGUUGGGAAAAAAAAAUAGGAACUGAAACUAAGUUUUGAAAGGCGGGAUGGUCGGAUCAGAGCGAAUCAUAGCUUGGACUAUCCAGAAAAAAAAAAAAAAGAAAAAAAAAAGAGAAAAAAGGGAAAGGACCUUUGAGAUUGAGGGCGAUGCGGGCUCGUUCAGAGCAGGUGCUCCGCCAGUAGGAGUAGAGAAUGAGCUUCUCCCCUGAAUCCCCCAUUUCAUGUAACACAAGACGCAGUGAAGAGAGAAAGAGGAGAAGAAAUUAAGAAGAAAUUAUGAUGGGGAAGGAGAUGUGCUGCCAUUGGCUUUUUGAGAAGAAAUUAAGAAGGAGACGUGCUGCCAUUGGCUUUUUGAGAAGAAAUUAAGAAGAAAUUUUGAUGCGGAAGGAGACCUGCCAUUGGCUUUUUGAUUAUAUAUAUAUAUAUAUAUAUAUAUAUAUAUAUAUAUAUAUAUAUAUAUAUAGAGAGAGAGAGAGAGAGAGAGAGAGAGAGAGUUGAGCUAGGAUACUGUCAGAAGCACAAAAGGGAGCGGUGCUUUUAAAUUUUUAACUAUUGAAUGGAGAGAUGUAGAGUUGAGAUGAUGGUGGUAGAUGGUGGUAAGUGGAAUAGUAUUUGAUUCUAGGGAUAGUUUUGAAAUUUCUGUCUGCACUCUGUAGUGGCGGUGGAUAGUUCGGACAGCGGGCAAACUGCGACGCAACGGGCAACUGUGCAUCGCACUAGAAGGUGGGGUUUGGUUUGGUAGAAGGUAAGACGUCUAAUGAGAUUGUGGGAAUAAUGCUUUACUAGUAUAGUAAUUCGUGCAACAAAAGAAAAAAAAAUAGUCAUAAAAAAAAACAACGACAAGAGGUAAAAUUUAUCUUGCAGAUAAAGAAAAAUAAUAGUCGAAGAAAAUAAGAAAAUGAAAGAGAAACAGUUCGGUCUUAUGUAGAGAUGUGACCUGAUUCGAUUCAAAUAAAAAGAAAAAAAAAUUCGAUUUGAUUCAAACAAAGAACAUGUGAUAAACUUAAGCCGGUUCGGGGAAACCGACACUCGACAAUAAUUAAUUUGGCUCAAGUAAAGAAAGAGAAAAAUUCAGUUCGAUUCAAGUAAAAAAAAUAUGAAGGACUUGAGUCGGUUCAAAGUAGAGCUCAUAUCCAAUAAUGAAGAGAAUUUUAUCAUGUGGCAAAUUUAGAGAGAAUAAUGUAUAGGCAUAGAGGUAUAGAUAUGCGGCGGGAAGAUAUAAUAAAUAAUAGAAGGUUUUGCUUAUUUCUUUUUAUUACUGUUCAAAAUUUUUAAAUUUACUCCUAAAUAUCCAAAAUAUCCUUAUAAAGUUCUAUUCCAUUUGUAAAUCCUAGAAAAAUUGAGAAUAUUUGAAAAUUUUCUUUUAAAUGGACAAAGAUUUUUUAGUCCUCCAGAAGUAAAUAAGAUAUUUUGCAGUUUCAAAGGGCAUAUUAAAUCUUAUCCCAAAAGAAAAAUAUAUACAUAUAUAGUGUAGAGCUACUAUGCUAUCGAAAGCAUAGAGGGUUUUAUACUUACGACUUUUUGACCCUAGGAUCAAGAAUUAUACAAUUGGGACGAUUGCGGUCCCCCCUAGGGUUGAAUAGUAUCCCUAGAGUUGAGUAAUCUCCACAGGAUAAUAGUAUUAAUUCAAAGAUUAGAAAUGAUCAAACGGAUUGAUCUAAGGGUUAAAAAGUCGGAAGUACCAGAUCCUCUAUGCUUUCGAUAACAUAGUAGCUCUACUUUACAUAUAUAUACUUAUGUUUGUAUGCAUAUUCUGUAUAUUAUUAUGAGUACUGUAUUUUUUAUGAACCCACCAAAAAAUAGAAGAGCAUAUUUUUAUAUAUUUUCGUCUCAACUCUAUUUCGUUUACUAGCGUUUAAUGGUCCUUUGCUCUCAAUGAGUUUCCAUAAAUAUAGUAUAACUAAAAAUGUAUAUAGUUGGAGAAUCAAAAAAUUUUGCUUGGUUCCUUGAAGUUGAAAACUAUUUUUUUAAAAUUUUGUUGCUUGGUAUGUUUCAUGAUCAAGAAUUUAAAUGUUGAGAGAUAGGAUUGUACUGUGCCAAUGUGGGCCACUCAAAAAUAUACUGUUAACACAUGUGGCGUGUUUGGUUCGUCUUUUUUUUUUUUACUCGGAAUCAGAAUUGGAAUGAACGAAUCCAUUUGUCCGUAUUUGGUAUGCAGGAUUUUCAAUCCGAUUUCAAUUUUCGGGUGAAUGGGAAUUAUUCAAUUACCCUUUUUUCCAAUCCGGCCUAAGAGGUCGGAUUGGAUAUUAAAUUCGCACGGAAUGGAUUUGUUCUGAUUAAAUUUAACUUUUUUAAAUUUAUUUUUUAAUUAAAAUAUAAGUUUAAAUUAAAAAAUUAUAUUUAUAAAUUUUAAUUUUAAUUUUAACUUAAAUUAAAAAUUAAAAUUCAAUCAAAUAUUUCAAAUCUAAUUUAUAAAUUUUAAUUUAAAUUUUAAAUUUUAAUUUUAAAUUUAAAGUUUUAUUCAAUUUUUUAAAAAUUUUAAAUUAAAUUUACGGAUUCAAAUUGAAAUUUAAAUUAUAAUUUUAAGUUUGAAUCUGAAUAAAUUAAAAUUUAGUUUUAUAUUUUGAAUUAUCUUUUCAAUUUGAAAUUUUAAUUUUUUUUAAAAAAAUAUAUUUAAAAUUUUGACAUCAUUUUAAAAUUUUGACAUAAAUUUUUAAUAUUUAAUUUUUAGUUUGAAUUUAAACUAAUAUAUUAUAAGGAUAAAUUUGACAUAUUAAUUUAAUUACGUUUCUGAUAUCUAUCUGAACCAAACACCAAUAGUGGGAAUAGUUUAUUCCAAUUCCAAUUUAGGUGGUAAACCAAACAGAAUGAGAUAAUGAAUCAUUCCAAUUCCGUUUCCAGCUUAUUCUAUUCCGAUUCCGAUACCGAUUCUGACUUCAAACCAAACGCACCCACAAUGGCAUGAAAUAUUUAUUUUUUCUAACGUCAAAAUAUUUUAAAUAUACAUACCUUUAUCAAUUAUUUUGAACUUUAUUAAUGUCACUUUUUUUUUUUGAGAUUAAGAUAGCAUGCUACCCGCUUCAUUCAUUGAAAAAAUAAAUUAGGCUACAAGAGUGAGGCAACUGGGCCUCGUGAAAAAAAAAAAAAAAAAAACCGAUUCACCGACAAAAAUUGAUUCCAAGCUGCCGACAGCUGUUUAACGCUACACACAACUCUCAAAGGAUCCAACUGAUUCGAUCGGAAGAUCGUAUUAUUUCUACUCUCCUAGAUAAUCCACCAAUAGGCGGCUAGUUCCGUAAUCCACUUGAGCUUAGAAUGCGGGCCCUUCCUAUCCACCCACCUAUCCCAAACCGAAUGAACAUCCGCCCCCAGAUCCCCAACCUGUACACCCUCGACAACCGUCACUAAGAUGAAUUUGGCGAAGACACAAUUCGUGAACAAAUGAUCCAUGGUUUCCUCCUCAGAUCCGCACAAUACACAAGUCGUGUCUCCAGUCCACCCUCUUUUAAUAAGGUUAUCUGCGGUGAGGAGCCUCUUUUUGAGGACGAUCCAAUAGAAAAUUUUACCUUUAAGAGGUAUACGUAAUCUCCAUAACUUAUUAGCGUGGACAUCCCGUAUACCUCCUUCACUCAGCGCCGAGUAAGCUGACUUGACCGAGAAACGCCCCCCAGGGUCCCAUCGCCAAAGGAUCCUAUCCGGGCACUGGUCUACUUUGAAAGCAGAGACCCAAUCCAUAAACUCCGAGAAGUAUAGCCCAAGGCCUGGCAAUUAGCAGCACCAUCUCCCAAGAUCUUAUUCCACUCCCACCCGUCGCUCCCCCAGCACUCAGAGACUUUGGCAAUCAUGUUUCCCACCCUAUUGUACACCUCCAGGUAAGCCCGUUGCAGGGACGAUUCCCUGCACCAACGAUCAAACCAAAAAUCGAUAGUGCUUCCGCUUCCCAACUUAAAAUUAAUACCCCAUUUGAAGAUAUCGGAGAGGCUUAGAACCCCUUUCCACUAGUGUGAAAUGGGCCGAAAGGAUCUUCCUUCCCUCAGCGGUCUUCUUCUGCAAUAGUAAAGGUCCUGAAUAAGUUUCUUCCACAGUAGCUGAGGUCCUGUGUGAAACUUCCAUCACCAUCUGACAAGCAAAGCUUGAUUCAUAGUAGCUAAGUCCAAAAUGCCAAGCCCUCCUUUUUUAUUUUUGCAAACGUUUUUCCAAGCGAUUAGACAUCCCUUGCCUGAUACGUUAUCUCCUCCUUUCCAAAAGAAAUCUCUACGCAUUGCCUCAAUCCAUUAGAUCGCCCAUUUCGGUGCCAUGAACGUAGACAUAAAGUAAAUGGGUAGGUUUGUUAAGACCGCGUUAACCAGGAUAAGCCUACCCCCCCGUCAAUUCUGCUUUGUAUUUUUUGAAUAACCCCCAUCCAGUCCCCCCUGGAGGGGGAUCUAGUGGAAAGGGGCAGGCCAAGAUAUGUGGUCGGGAGGCUGCCAACGCUACACUCAAGUAAAUCCGCCAAACUUCUCGCUCUUCCCUCAAUCUGACCAGUAUAAUACAACUCCGACUUGGCCUUGUUAAUUUUCAUUCCGGACGCCUAUUCAAAAAGCUGCCACAAGAACUUUAGGUUUCUUAAAUAUCUUUUCUUAGCCUCACAGAAAAAAAAUGUGUCAUCCGCAAAUUGAAUGAUAGUAACUCUCCUUGCGUCCUUGGGACCAAGGCCUUUGAUAAGAUUGUUCGAAAUAGCUUUGUCUGCCAAUCGGGCCAUGCAGUCCGCCACCAAUAAAAAGAGAAAUGGGGAAAGCGGGUCCCCUUGCCUAACACCUCCCUUUAUCUUAAUCCAAUUGGUAGCCUCCCCAUUAACCAGGACCGCCACUUUGGCAGAGCACACACAUAGCUUGAUCUAUCCACACCACUUCUCAUUAAAACCCCACCAGUCCAAGAUACGAAACAGAAAGGGCCAUCUGAUUCUAUCAUAAGCCUUUUCGAAAUCCACCUUCACUCCAACCCCCUCUAUAUCCUUCUUACGUCUAUUUUUUAAAAUUAAAAAAGAGGGUUUUAAAUCUUGCAGUGAGCAUAGUAGUCACACGUAUUGAUAUCUGGUCAGUAUAUGAUGAGCACUUAAAUUCUUUAAUAUGAUAAAAUUAUUCUUAAAAAAAAUAUUAAAAAAAUUAACUUAAGGUGUUGGUACAUAGGUAAGAUUACAUCUUAUUUGAAUUUACUCUUUCCAACUAAGUCAAAUUUGAGCAUAGUUAAAGAUAGAUAGCUAUUUAAAUAUUAUAAAGCUAAAUAUUUAGCAUCCAAAUUUAUGGGUAUAUAAUUAAUCAUCUAAACUUAUUAUUUAUUUUUUUUAGAGUGACGGAUAUUAGUUUAAUAAUUAAAAAUUAAUAAAAGAUGCACGUUGGCAAUAGAACUUUUUUACAAAAUAAUUUUUUAAAAUUUUAUAAUUUGCGAAAUGAUAAAAAAUCAGUGCCUUUUUUUUACAGUAAAAUUAAAUUUUGACGUCAAAAAAAUCCUCCUAUAUUGUUCAUAUAUAUAUAUAUAUAUAUAUGGCCCUUUUGCGCCAAAAAAAAGGGAUUUUUUUUAUUUGUUUAGAUAUUUUAGUAAGAAAAAAAUCGUUUACCAUUUUUCCUAUGCAAAUUUUCAUCCCAAAUGCUACGAAGCACGAGUGCAAAUGAUCUUCAAAAAUUGAUUCUCAUGACGAGAUUAGUUCAAUUAUGUUUAAUAGUGUAUCUAAACCUGGUUUGGUGAUUUAAUUAGUUUAGUUUUAUCUGCAUUCUUUGGUUUAGAAUAAUUAAUUAAUAUAUAUAUAUAUAUAUAUAUAUAUAUUUAAUCCAAACUUUAUUCAGCAUUAUUUACACGAUUAAUUGUAAAUGAUUUACCCUUUUUUUGAAUAUGAAAACAAAGUAAAUAGUCUCCUGCAUAAAACCUGCUAAUAAUAAUAAAUCAUUAGCCUAAACCAUAUUUAAAUUCAGUUAUUAUUGCUAUUAUUACAGAGGUCUUUUCUAUUCAAUAUGAAACUAUUGAGAUGCUAUAGAUCAGAACUCUUUAGAACUCUUGUCUAUUCGAUGUGGCUAUAGAGGUGUUAUAGAGCCCACCCCCCUUUUAGACCUCAGGACUUUCUAUUCGAUGUGGUUCAUCAGAUCUAAACACAGACAUAUCAGAAUUAUCAGGCGAUAUGAGAUUUUAAAGGUGGCUCCCACGGAUUCUCCGUUGCUGUAGCACUUUGCACCACAUAAUCAGCUGAUAUUUGUACCUAAUACCAAAUAUAACCACCGACCCAAAAUACUUAAUACAAGGUAUUAUAACUAUUGGAAGGCCUUUUAUAUAUUAAAUCAGAACUCUUUUUUAUAUGAGCUCCAGGGGAACCUCGGCCCUCCUCUCUCUUAGCUCUCCUCCCAAGGUCUGCUAGGAGUAGUUUGGUCCAACGGACCAAAAUCUAUUUUUUUAAAAUAAUACAAAUUUAUUAAUUUUUUUUAAAAAAUUAAAUAUUUACUUUAGUAUAAUUAUUUUUAUAAUUUUUUUAUUAUUUUAAUCAAAAUAUUAAUUUAAAUAAAAAUAUUAAUUGUUUAUAUUUUUAAAUUCAUACUAAAUUUUUUUAAAAAAAAUUAAAAAUAAAUAUUUUACUAGGCCGGCCCGAAGUACGGCUCGUGCCUUCCGGGUGAAGGACCGUGUCGGGCCAGAGGGUAGACAAUUUGGGCCCGGCACGGCCUGGCUAGAAAUUAAAUCCGGACCGGGCCGGGCCAGCCCUGACCUGUUUCGACCCAAAAAUUGUGGGCUGCGGCCCACAUUACACCCCUAGAUGGGCCCAUAAACAACCCAUUUUAUGUACUAGGCGAGAUUGGAAAUGUGGAUCUGCAUGCUCCUAAAACGAUAAACAAAUGUCAUGUUCAAUGUAGGAGUGUCAACGAGCCCGACACAAGUGAACUGGAGCCGGCUCGUGNGGCUGCGGCCCACAUUACACCCCUAGAUGGGCCCAUAAACAACCCAUUUUAUGUACUAGGCGAGAUUGGAAAUGUGGAUCUGCAUGCUCCUAAAACGAUAAACAAAUGUCAUGUUCAAUGUAGGAGUGUCAACGAGCCCGACACAAGUGAACUGGAGCCGGCUCGUGUUUGGCUCAUUUGAUAAACGAGCCGAACACGAGCUGGCUCGUUAAUGUAUCAAGCUGAAAAAUUCAGCUUGUAUUCGGCUUAUUAAUAAACAAGCUGAAUACGAGCUGACUUACGAACUGACCAACAAAUAAUAAGUUAAAUGAAUCAUAUUAGAUAUAUAUAUAUAUAUAUAUAUAUAUAUAUAUAUAAAAAUAAUUUAUUAAAUCUUAUCUAUUAGAUUUUGAUCUAACUUUAUAUAGAAAUGAAUUUUUUUAUAAUUGAGCUCGGCUUUCUAUUUUUUUUUUAAAAUCAAAUUAAUAUAUAUAUAUAUAUAUAUAUAUAUAAUAUAUAUUUAUAUAGUUAUUUAGUAUAUUAUAAAUAAAUAUACAUAUAAAUUAAAUAAAUUAUAUAAAUAUAAAAUAUAUGUAUUCAAGCUGUUAUCGAGCCGAACACGAGUGAGCUGAUCCCAGCUCGUGUUCGGCUCGUUUACUAAGCAAGCGAUUCAAUAUCGAGCUCAGUUCAAGCUAAACACGAGCUAACUUGCAAACGGCGAGCUGAAUUUUCACCUCUAGUUCAAGGUCGAGAUAGUCAUAUAUAUGAAAGGGAGAUUGUAUCGAAGGUUGCGAAAUUGGGCUCGACGCAAUGAGCAUGCGCACGGGAGAAGAGAACCAAGGUCGAGAUAGUGUCAUAGGUUUGGCUCUGAAAAACUCAGCUCAUAUUCAGCUCGUUCAUUAAACGAGCGAUUAGUUUCGAGCUUACUUUGAGCCGAACGUGAAUUGAUUCGCGAACAACGGACUGAAUUGUCAACCGUAAAAAGAAUCACGCUGAGAGCCAGCAGCCAAAAGUGUAAUUGCAUAAAAAGGAAUCAGGUGGGCAUCACCUUUAUCAGGAGAGCCCAUCCGACAGUACGGCCGUCGCUCUCUCCUGCGUCACAUUCCCUGCUGUUCACUUCUGGGCCGCUCGCUACUUCUGCUCCCGCCUUUGCCACAUGGAUUACCCGAUCACUUUCUCUCACAGCUCACCACAUAAGUGUGAUUUUACUCUCUGACCAACUUCUAGCCAUUUGAAUCUGUAGGGUGGAAACAAUUUUAAUAAUUUUGUUAAGAUAAGCAGUACAAAAUUUCUUUCCCGAUAAUUUUUGUACAUUUUUUUGGCUUUACUUUGUAGGACGUACGUAGUGCUGUUUAGGACCAGUUGAAGCGUUAUCAUUUAAUGCUUCGAUUAUUUUUACCGGUUAGAUUAUACUAUUCAACUAACCACCCACUCAACCUUAGGAGGCCCACAUCAUUUUAACCGCACAUUUUUCAAUUCAAAGGCUAAAAAAUUAAUAGCACUUAUAACUUAGUACUAUUGAUUGUAUUCCAGCCUCUAUAUAUAUAUAUAUAUAGAGAGAGAGAGAGAGAGAGAGAGAGAGAGAGAGAGAGAGAGAGUGUGAGUCCGUCCCUGAGUGGUUGGAAUCAGCUUCCCUCUUUGUUUGCUUCCUUGUAUACUUUUUUUUUUUUUUUUUUUUUAAAGAUAGGAUUUUUUUCUUAGCCACUACAAUUUAUCAGUUCACCAAUGUAGGAUACUUGCGGUUUAUACUUCACCCUGUUUGAUAAAAUGCCUCAAAUAAAAUUUUUGUGUUAACCAGUUGCCUCACCAUCACUAUUGUUCAAUUUAUUUGAGGAUUCUCUCCUAUAAAAAAGCAAGCAUAGUUGCUGGAACCAGGAUAGAGUGUUGUAGAAUAGAAGCCCAAAUAUUUAUUACUCUCCCAUGGCUGUUAAAAGCACUUCUGGGGAGCCACUUCUUUCAAAUGGAAGUUUUGACCAUGGCUUCUCCAAAAGUGCUUCUUUGGCCAAACUAUUGCUCAAAUUUUUGAUGUGGGUGUUGUUCAUAACUUGGGUUGCUGCCAUUUACUUCUUUUCAACUGAAUUUGUGCACAAUUUGUUCUCCAAAUGGAUCAAACUUACCGAAGGAACAAUCUUUGGAAUCACAGGUGGAAACUUUACUGAAUUGCUCUUCUUGUUGAAGCAGUGAUAAAAAAAAGAAAAAAAGAUUCAUAUUUGUUUGGUUGUGAAUUGUAUAUGCAGGAAGCAUUUUCCUCGGAUUUAGCGCGCCAAUUCUGAUCAUUUCGUUUCUCGCGUUUAUCUAUGUCGCCGCCUUCUCGAGUGACGAUUUCGGGUAUGUAUUUCUCUCAUUUAAUUGCUUUUACUUUCUUAAAUUUGUAGCCAUCAGGGUAUGCAUCAUGUGUUGCUUAUAUUUUGGUUAACACGAUAUUAGAACUUGUCAUAAGCUUGCUCAAUUUGAAGAGGCCAUGGGUUUAAUUCCCCGUAUCGAACAUUUUGUGGGUUAUUCUUUGUCUCUCAUUUUACUUUACGUGGUAUGAUUCAUCUAAUCUCUACUAUACACGUAAGCAAGGGCGCUAAGAAUUAGUGUAAGGUCGAUCUUUUAUGGACUAAAUUCUCAGGCGAAGUUUAUUUGCUCAAAGGAUUCUAUUGGUAACAGGAAGAAGAAGCAAAAAUUUCCGAGGUUUCGUCUUUGGACAUUCCCUGUUCUUGUUGACGGACCAUUUGGAGUUGUCUCUGCUGCAGAGUUUAUUGGCAUAACACUUUUCAUCGUAUACGUAGUCUGGGCGAUUACUUCUUACAUAAUACAAGCAAGUAACAUGGUUUCAGGGUUUCCAUUUCCUUCAAAAGAGAAAAGGUAUGUUUUGGUUUGAACAAAGUAGAUUCCUAUGCUCUCCUGCAUUUGUGAGAGGGAAAAUUAUUGUGUGAAAAGAAAUUUAAGAAAAUUCCUUUUUCAUUCCUUUAUGGCUCUACAUCUAUUAGAAAUUGGAAGUAUCCGAUGACGAGUUUAACUAAAUUUCACCAAACUAAAGUAAGUGUACUUUUGAGUUGUCAAUAAUGUUUGACUAACUAUAAAGGCCAUAUAACUCUCAUAUGAAGAGUUUAUGCAUUAACAUAUAGAGGAUUUGACUGGUUAAUUGUUUAUGCUUUAAAAGGUUUCUUAUGAUUGAAUGAUUUGAUAGCUUGCAUAUGAAAGCUUCUUUUUAUCUCUCUGUGUAGUUUUCUAAUAAUAUAUUUGUAGUCAGGACCAUGCAAUCACUAGUAUCAAUCAGUUGAGUAAUCAUAUGAUUAUUUUAGACCAGUAAUUUUCUAAUAGAAAGCAUCAUAGUAUCUAAGUUCCUCUUUGAUCUGCAAGCGUCACACUAAAUUCUUUUGGUGAUUAUGUCUGUUUCUAUCUGCAAAAAAUCUUUCUUUCCGCGUCAGGGAAAAAAAAAAGAAGGCAUGUUCAUGUGUUUUAAGGUUUAACACUAUCGCAUACAUCUGAUGAAAUUAUCGGCUGGAGCUUUGUUGAUCAGCUUUUAUGUUUUCUAUACUUCCCAUGCUCAACUUUGUAGAUAAAACAACUUGAACAAUUUGUACUUUUGAUUUUUUUUUUUUUUUUUUUGUUGGUAUAGGAGACAAAGAUAAGUCACUAAACCAGUAAAUGCCAUCUUAUGAUUUUAGUCUUUCUAUGUGCAAAGUAAUCUGUAAAAGUGGAUCUUUUGUUGCAUGAGCAUAAACUGUAAACUCCAGUGUAGAUAAAUCUACUUGCCAAGUAGCUUUAUAGAUGUUGGGAACCCCUUUCCUUAAAUUUGCUUCACUCAAUAUUUUUGCACAAUUUUAGCAGUUGAAAAAUUAUCGUUCUUUUUGCACCUUCUAUACGUUGGCUUAUGAUUAUCCAUUUCUGUAUUAGAAUUUAGUGAUGCUCACUUAUGAAGCUUGUAGUAACCCCAUCUAUUAUUUACAUUUUUCCAAUCUACCUAAUCUCAUUGCUAAUUUAAUUCUUGCAGUUACUUCAUGUUAGAGAUCAUUGGGCUUCGGCUAGGCUCAAUUGGAUUAUUCUGCAUGGUUUUCUUAUUUCUUCCUGUAGCAAGGGGUUCAAUUCUUCUUCGUUUAAUAGAUAUACCAUUUGAGCAUGCGACGAAAUACCAUGUUUGGCUUGGACACCUUACCAUGGCUCUUUUUACGUUACAUGGCUUAUGUUAUGUGAUUUCAUGGUCAUUACAGGGCCAUCUUCGGCGAGAAGUAAGCCUGAAUUAUAUAUUUAGUUGCAUCCCUUUGAAUGCUCAAUCAUAUUUAUAAUUGUCAAGUCCAUGAUUGAUAACAAUAAUAGGAACAAGAGUAUAACAAGAACGGCCCAGUUAUAUGGAUUUCUGAUAGCAGCGAGCUGUAGUUUUAUGGUAGGAAAGGCUUCUUCUUUAAAUAUUUUAGACAAUGGUUGCUCGAACACAUGCAAGCUAGAUAGUUAAUUUUGAGUACGUCGAUUACCUAUCUCGUAAAAUGAUAAUAUAGGAAGGAAAUAGCUCUCUAUUAAACUCUCUUUCGAGAUUAUUUCUAAUUAAAAGACAUCUGGCUUUCCAUGUGCAGAUGCUAGAUUGGAAAGACAUCGGUGUUGCUAACUUUCCUGGAGUAAUUAGCUUGUCGGCAGGUCUCUUAAUGUGGGUGACAUCACUGCAGCCUGUGAGGAAGCAGUUCUUCGAGCUCUUUUUCUACACGCAUCAGCUAUACGUGAUCUUUGUAGUGUUCUUAGCACUGCAUGUCGGCGAUUUUAUUUUCAGCAUGUGUGCUGGAGCAGUUUUCCUCUUCAUCCUUGAUCGUUUUCUGAGAUUCUGCCAAUCCCGAACUAAGGUCGACGUCAUUUCCGCGGCUUGCCGUCCGUGCGGCACAAUAGAAUUGAUACUUUCAAAGCCGCCAAGUAAUAAUUCUUGCUCAUCUUCCAUUUAUUGUCAACUGCCAACUUUGUCCGAGUUCUCUUCUCUUACAUUUCCUAAAAAGCUGUCAUUCACUAAAGAAAACUUAUCCAUGAUCUUGAUUAUGUUAAAUUGGCGCUUUUACAUGUAUAUCCUGCAAAAUCUAUUUACACUAAUACCCCUGUAAAUCGGAAUUUUCAUAGGUGGUUAUAUGUACCAUCUGAAAAUGCCGAUUCUUACCAAAAUGGCCUUCCCUUAACUUGUGUGGUCGGAAAAGUUGAUUUUGUAAUAGAAAGUGGUUUUACUUUACUUAUGGCUUCAUUUUUUUUAUGCAGAUCUUUGUUAUAAUGCUCUGAGUUUUAUUUUCGUUCAAGUACGCGAAUUAUCAUGGUUGCAGUGGCAUCCCUUCAGCGUAUCAUCCAGUCCUUUGGAUGGCAAAUACCAUAUCUCAGUUCUCAUAAAGGUACUCGGUACGUGGACUGGUGAACUACGUGAUCUCAUUUCUAAUAUCACGGAACAGCCACAAAAUGACUCCGAGCCGCAACCUAAUCGAAUAACCGCGUGUGUUGAAGGGCCUUAUGGGCAUGAAUCACCUUACCACUUAAUGUAAGCCUCUUACUUUUGUUACUUAUUGUUGAUUGCUUCUCGCUACUUAUUAUUUUUUCAAGUUCUCCAAAAUUUUAUUUCUAUUCAAUGACAUAGAAUCGAAUGGGGAUUCGAGCGAUUUGCGACCAUCCUUAUUGGGUCCUUAAUAUAUAUAUGCUCAUUUGUUCAACUUGCUAAAAUCGCCGCUUUAAUAAGAAAUUUUAAUGCUGUUUCUUGUGACGGAUUUCUCAUCCAUGCAUUCAUUCUUCACUCUUGUUUAGGUAUGAAAAUCUGAUUCUAGUAGCUGGCGGCAUCGGUAUAUCGCCCUUCUUGGCCAUAUUGAGCGACAUCAUUCACCGGAUCAGCGAAGGGAACCUUUGUUUGCCGAAAAACAUUUUGGUUGUUUGGGCCGUCAAAAAAUCAAAGGAGUUUUCUCUCCUUUCAGCAGUAGAUUUGCGAUCCAUUUCUCCGUCUUUCUUGGAUAAAUUGCAUCUGGAUAUUCAAGCUUUCGUGACUCAAGAAUCAGAACCUCCAUUGGUACUUGACUUCAGCAUUAUUAUCUGUUUCCCUUCUGAAAGAAACAUUUUCUGAUACAAAACCAACUUCCUUGAAUUUUUCUCGCAGGAAGAGGGUAAGGUUGAUGAGAACAUUGAGUUCUCCUCCAUCUGCGUAAAAAAUGGAAGCUGCAUGUCGAGUUUGGUCGGUACAGGAAAUAAUUUCUGGGCUGGAACAUAUGUAAUUCUAUCUACUCUUGGAUUCAUUGUGUUAUUUGGUUUGGUGGAAGUUUAUUACAUCAAACGCUUCGGUAUAUUCGCUUGGUGGUAUCGAGGGCUCUUAUUCACCUUAUGCAUGAUCGCGGGAGUCGUUUUUGUCGGCGGCAUUGUUGUUUUCCUGUGGCAUCGUUCGGAAAAGAGGAACUCGAGCUAUGAGAAUUUGGCGGUCGAUGAUAACAAGAAAAGCAACAUAAGUAUGUGCAAGGAGGCGACGCUAGUUGAUGAGACGAGUAAGGUGAAUCUCGCGAGCUUCCAGACGACUCGAUACGGGUGCAGGCCUGACUUCCAAGGUAAAGUUCAUGGUGGGAUUACAAUGCUAAAGCGUUUUCGCAAACAUGAUAAUGAUUGAUCUUCGACUCGCUCAAGGUUUUAAAGACAAAUGAAUAUUGUUCCACAACAAAGGCCAAGAAACCCCUGAAAUUUAAGAACCUAUGGUUUCCCCUAUUGGCCUAUAGGCCAAGUGAUACAUAUCUACUUUUGCUGAACACUAAAGUAGGCGGCAAAGUGAUGAGAUCUUGUAGCUAAAGGGUUUAACAUAUAGGUUCCUAUAUUGCAGGGGAGCAAAAUGAACAUUUUGAUAUCCGCGAUAUAAUUUAAGCGAAAUUUUAUACAAAAACACAUACAAAGUCAUGUUUAAUCAUGAUCAUCUUCUACUGUUGUAUUCUCUUUCAUAUUAGCGCGCUUCAUUAAAAUGUUUCUUUUUACUUUUUACAGCAAUAUUUACCACCUUCGCGGAACAAAUGGGGCCUGUUGAUAUUGGUGUGAUAGUAUGUGGUCCGCCUGGGCUUCAGUCGAGUGUCGCGAAAGAGUGCAGGUCUCAGAAUCUCAGGGGAAAACGGAGCGCCGCAGUUUUUCACUUCAACAGCCACAGCUUUGAUCUUUAACUACCUUUUAUCUUUCUAGUCUUGGGAGUGUAUGUAAUCUACUCUGUGUAUAUAUAUCUACUCUCUCUCUCUCUCUCUCUCUCUCUCUCUCUCUCUCUGGGUCUGUAUAUUACAGUAUAGUACCAAUACAUUGAGAGGUAAAAGGAUUAGAAUCUUUGGAUUAGUAAUCAAGUUUAUAGCUUGAUUGGUAAAUGAAGUUGAAGUUGAGUGGCAUAUGCUGAAAGAGGCGACUCUCUCUCUCUCUCUUUUAUAUAGAACACUCUAGAGUGCUCUAGAAACAAGUGUUCUCUCUACUUGCUAAUAGAACACUCUAGAGUACUCUAGAAAUAAGUACUCUCUCUCUUUAUGAAAAACUCUAGAAACAAGUGCUCUCUACUUGCUAAUAGAGCACUUUAGAAAGUUCUAGAAAAAAGUGCUCUAGAAUACUCUAGAGUACUCAUGUAUGUAGGUUGGAGCCUAUAAAUAGGUGAGGCCUCCACACCAAGUGGUAGAGUGAAGAGAGAUGAAGUAGUGACGUAAGGUGUGAGUGGUGUGUGAGAGGAAGUUGUGUGAGUUAGUGUGUGAGGCUUGUAGUCUUUUGGGUGUAUAUAUUAGUGAGUGUGUGAGUUAGAAUAAUUUAUAUGUGAGAGUUAUUUUGUCUGUAAUAAAGAGAGUUUUAUUAUUAGUUUGGUACGCCAAUAUUCUACAUAUGCUUGGAUUGCUUUGACAUUCAUGCAAAUGGAUUGCUUUUCGGGCUCUCGUGAAGUCCGAGCUCCGAUCACUAGCGAUGCGCUCCAUCGCGAUUUCGGCUGACAGAAUGCUGGUGGUUACGGCAAAAAUUAUGUAUACAAUGAACCUCAUUUCAUUCUUAUUUGAAAAUUUUCAAGUCCUAAAAAGAAGAAAGCCUCAUGACACCACAUCCUAAGAUGUGGGUCUAAACAAGCACAAUGUUUUAGUUUUCUCCUCCACUGUAACCAAGCUCCAUUAAAGAGCUCCAUUUGUGUUUUAUAUAAGAUUUUCCCUUUAUAUAAUGUAAUGCAACCUACAAGGUGGAAUAUAGGCCAAGCCACUUAUCUCCCUCCACUACUUUAGCCAAAAUGCUUUUGUCCUGUUACCAACCCAUAUCAACACUUAAAUUAAAACCCCUAAUCCCACUAAGUAGAGUCACAAAAUAUGCAUCCUUUUGCAUUAAUAAAACAUGAACCCAUCUCACACUCAAAACACAUACACAAUCACCCUUUGGAUUGUCAACAUGCAUGGCUCUUCUUUUUGGCCCUUUUUUUUUUUUUUUGUAUAUCUAAUCAAAGCUCCUGGAGUGGUCUCCACGCUUUAAUGAAGUCAAUCCCUUGUGGAGGCUUACUUUGUGGCUUAAAAAGGAACCAAAAAAAAAAAAAGAGAAGAGGAUAAGAUGAUAAAAGAGAGGAAUGUGUUCAGCUCGUGGUACAGUUGGUAAAGAUAUUCAGCUUAAAAAAAAAAAGAAAAAACAUUCGUAAGAUGACUAUAUCUUCAAUUUGUUUCUUAGUAAUUAUUUUUGUGCACAAUAGUAGAAUUAGUUAAUAUAACUAUUAAGAAUAUCAACGGAUAAUAUGAUAUCGGAGCCGGUCCUAAACUCAUCUAAUCUACGUUAUGUAGGUGAAGGAGACGUUAAGAUUAUUUCUAAGCCGUUCAGUGAGAUCAUACUUAGUAAGCACGCUCCAUUCAAUGAGACGUUAUGUUAGUGUUUGCGCUAAUAAUAUCAACUCAAUAAAUGAAAAACGGAGUAAAAUAACACCUCUAUGUUUUAAAGGUGAAAGAAAAUGCUAAGGCUAUAUAUCUAUAUUAUUUUUGUAAAAUUUUUGACAUAAAAUUAUGCAAACUUUGCCCCUCUAUUUAUUGGCUACAUGCCAAAAAACUUGUUAUAGAAGGUAGAAUGAUACAAAUUUUGUUACAAAAGCCUUCGAGCAGAGCUUUUUCAGGAUCUUUAUACUCCUCUUAUCAAACCCAACCCAAACAUUUUGCCAUUGAAAUUGUAACAAUCCGGCUCACUAGUAAUAAUAACUAGUUGAGCUCAAACCACUGGCCAAAAAUGCUAAAACUCAUUAAUUUUUACUAGAGCCCUAAUUCAUUAUAUUCUCGUUCACAAAUUCUUUUCCAUCCGAUAUGGAACUAUUGGGGCGUUACAGGCUCUUUCUGUUUAGACCCUAAGGUUCUGCACAAGUCUAAACUCAAAUUGUACAUAUACAUAGAUCAGAAUUAUCAGACGCGCGAUAUGAGAUUCGAGAUUCGAAAGGUGGCUCCUACCAAACCCGUAGUAUAGCAAAACUACUGCCUAAAAAUGCUUAAGUACAGUUACUAUUAUUAGGAUUCUAAACCAUUAUAUUUCCAUUCAUAAAUCCUUUUUUCGUCCGAUAUUGGACUAUUGAAAUGUUACAAAAAUACAAAUUAAUAGUUUUAGGACUCUUGAACGAACAUGAUCUGUCGAGACCCUACCCAUGGUCUUACCAUUAGAAUACCAACUAGUGGUUUGGCUAAUGUAGUCAGGGUGAUUAAAUUAUGAACUAAUACGAUUAGAAUACGCAAUUAAUGUAUUUUAUAUUAACUAAAAAAGGAAGGUCAUUUGAGUGUGUAUGACUGUAUGAGGACCAAAUUUAGGUACAUCCAUGUAAUACCAUGCACAUGUCACAAUAAUUAACCUAACUUUAAAGUGAUCCUCAGGUGAGGACACUUUAGUAGAAAAUAUGGACUCAGAUGAGCCUCCAACAACCCAUUUCAUAUGCCUCUAGUGGCUAUUGUGCAUUCUCCAAUCCUUUUCUCUUAUGUUAGGGUUUAUAUCAUUGUGAGUUUUUUUUUUUUUUAAAAAGAGGGAAAACUUCAAAUACCCCCCUUGUGGUUUUGCUCUUUCUCACUUUAGUACCAUGUGGUUUAAAGUGUAUCAAGUUAGUACCCUGUGGUUUUGCACUCGCUCACUUUAGUACCCUGUGGUUUAAAGUGUAUCAAGUUAGUACCCUGUGGUUUCGCACUUUCUCACUUUAGUACCCUGUGGUUUAAAGUGUAUCAAGUUAGUACCCUGUGGUUUCGCACUCUCUCACUUUAGUACCCUGUGGUUUAAAGUGUUUCAAGUUAGUACUCUGUGGUUUCGCACUUUCUCACUUUAGUACCAUGUGGUUUAAUAUUUUAUUAAGAAAAAAUUGAAACCACAUAAUACUAACUUGAUACAAACAUAAAACCACAUGCUAUUAACUUGAUACAAAAAUAAAACCACAGAGUACUAACUUGAUACGCUUUAAACCACAGGAUACUAAAGUGAGAAAGUACGAAACCACAGGGUACUAACUUGAUACAUUUUAAACCACAGGGUAUUAAAAUGAAAAAGUGCGAAACCACAGGGGUUUUUUGAAGUUUUUCCAAAAAAAUAAACUAAAAGGUGAAAAAUAUAUGGACGCCCCCUCAACUAUAUUCCAUUUUGAAUAUGCCUAUUUAAUUGUAGAGUUUUUAAAAUUGAAUUAUAUGUUAUAGUUAGUCAAGUGUAAAACUUUAUUAAAUUUGAUUGCUCUAUUAGCUGUUAGUCAUUGAUUGCUUCAGUUUUAUUUUGUAAACGUGAUUAAAACUACAAAAUUGACAUGAUGUAAUCACAAAGUAGUAUGAUAAAAAUCCACAGUUUAAUUGACUAAGGUCACUUAAUUUUCUUUUAAAAAACUAAGGGCCUCAUUAAUUUGGUAUUGUUGCUUUUAUUUAUUUUUUAAAAAAAAUACAAUUUCUAUGAAAUAAAUGUAAAAGGGAUUGAUGAAUUAUUUACAGUCUUUUUUGUUCUAAAAUUUUUUAAUACAAGCUGUCAUUAAUUUGUUACUUAACCAAAAUACAAUAAUAAGAAGAAAGUUAUUGCGCCUGUACAAAUAAAAAAAUGACAACGACACCAAACAAGGCCAAGAGGUUACAAAUUAAUGCGAGAAAAUAUGGGACAAUUUUAAAGUUGAGGGAAGCCAUUUCAAAAUGGCAUAUAUAUAUAUAUAUAUAUAUAUAUAUAUAUAGUUGAGGAGUACUCCACAAACUUCUUACCCUAUUUAAAGGUUUCCUCUCCCACCACACUUUGAUAUAACUAUAUAAGAGAGAGAGAGAGAGAGAGAGAGAGAGAGAGAUCACUUGCAUGCAAAGAAACUCAAAAAUGGGUGAUCAUGAGGAGAUCCAAGAGGAGUAUGAGUUGAAUGAAGUAGAAGAUAACUUGCAUGGUUCAGUGGGGAGUAGGCUCUCUCUAUUUGCUAAGGAAUUUGGUUUUGGGAGGGGCAAAUGGGAUAGCAACAUUGCUUUGAAAAUCCCAAAAGAUUGUUACCAUGGCCUUGUUAUACAUCCCAAUGGAAGGUAAGAUAAUCAUAAACACCUUUUUUUUUUUUUUGGGCGUAAACUAGAGCUUUUCUACUCUUGCUUUUCAUAUAACUUCUCUACUUUCAAAAGUAGUAGUCAACGUUGACGAUAAAUCUUUGAGACCAAAAUUUUAGAACUUUUGUUGUAGGGAAUGCAAAAAUAAGAUUCUGAACUUUUGCAUUUUUACAAUAACUUUCGCUAGACAGAAUGCUAUUAGUGCUUCUAACUUGCUCUCGGCUUAAAAAUAUGAACAUAAUUAUAUGGCCAACUCUAAAAUAACAAUAAUUAAUCGAAUGAAGGUAUAUUGAUUUAGAGGCCAACCUUAUGAGCUAACAUGGAACUUAAGUUAAUAUUGCAAAACUUUAGACGUAGCUAGUUUUGAUUUCAGUCCCUUUUAUUUUUACAUCUAGUAUUUUCAGAUGUAAAUCUUUAGACUACGUAGAUGAUCGUCUGUUAUCUAUUUUUGUUACGUUAUUUUUUCGGACCUACUUUUGUUACUUAUGGAAGUUUGUAGACCGAAUCUCUCUAGUGAUUCGUAGUAAGCUUUAGUUUUAUAGAUAUUGAAAUUCAGUUUGAUUUUAGUUGAAAUUCAAUUUCCUAGUCUCAUCUUUUGACUAUUUGAUUUUAGUGAAAAUUUGAUAAUCAUCUUUUUGCUAGUUUUCGUAUGAUUCUGUAGCCUUGCAUAUUUGCUAGUUUAGCAAGUAUGCGGCGUCUGUUACACAUCGGGUUCGGGGCAUGACAGAGAAAUAGUAUCAGAGCCGAAUACCAGCCAGAAGUGUGAAAGCUAAGUGCUACGCGGGACAAAGUGCUACACCAACAGAUUUGGUGGGAGCCACCUCUUGAACCCAUAGAAUCUCGAUCACAUCGCUUGGUAAUUAUGGUCCUGGUCUGUCUGUCUAUGAUCUGGUUUGGACCCGACGAGAACGUCAGGAUCUAAACAAGGAGAGUUUGUAACGCCCCCAAUAGUUCCACAUCGGAUGGAAUACUGAUUCCGAUCAGUUUAUAUGAGACCUACACGUUAGUAAUAAUAACCCGGCUUAAGCAUUUUGGGCAGGUGGUUGGGACUAACGAGUUAUUAUUGCUAGCGGGUCGGGUUGUUGCAGUAUGAAUAUUAAUGAGUUUUUUUUUUUUUUUAUUAGAUGGUACAGGAUGUGGGUGAGCAUGAUAUUCGUGUGGUCCGUCUGCUCCACCUUCGUCACGCCUCUGGAGUUCGGCUUCUUCAGGGGGCUGCCGGAGCACCUGCAAGACCUCGACUGCGCGCAGGCCGUCUUCCUCGCCGACGUCGUCCUGCAGUUCUUCGUCGCCUACAGAGAUGUUCAUACUUUCAAACUGGUUUACGACCGCAAAUGCAUCGCCAUGCAGUGAGACUUUUCACUUUAUAAACUAAAAAAAAUAAAAAGAUAAAAAUAGUAAUAAUACGCGUUUAAUAUAUACAUGUCCAGUAAGAAAACAGAUUUAUGUUGAAAAUUAAAUAUAUUUUUUGCUUAAAUUUAGAACUCGUGUCUCUAACUCUAAUUAAACUGGUAUACAUAGACACCUAAAAAUAGGUUAAAAGCCUCCCGGGAGAAUUUUAAAAAUUAAUUAAAGAAAAUAGAAACAGUGUGCUAAAAGAUUGAUUAGUGGUGCUAAUAUUUUUUUCCCCUCACCUUUUUUGUUCUUUUUCUUUUUUUGUACAAAGCGAAUCCUUGUAGGCUCUAAUUUACUCUUCAAAAUUUUUGAAAUAUUUUGUAUUUCUCUAUUUUUAAAAAGAUAUAACUCGUGUAUAUUCCUUCAUUGUUCAAAAAUAAUCCGCUGUUAGUAUCCGUUAAGUCAUCUCGAGUUAAAUCCGGAUUAAAUUCUUCCGGAUUAAAAAAAAUAUAUCAAAAUAUCUCUUUUGUUUCUAACUUAAAAACAAAUAUAAAAAAUUUGGUGACGAUAAAAAGAUAUAUUUAAAAAGCGAAAAUCAAAAUAUUUUUUUUUGCCCCUUAUUUAUGGGCAAAUAAGAAAAAUUGGCGACGUCACGAGAGUAUAUUUGCAAAGAUAAAAUAGUAAUUUUAUAGACAUAACAAUUGAUUCUAACUGUUCACUAGACUGUUUGAUUUGUUGGAAAAGCGUGUAAAAAAAUCUUUCAAGAAAAAAAUUUUUCAAUGAAAAACCUCUUUUUUAGUUUUUUUUUUUGUUUGUUUGGUUUUAAAAAAAUUAAGGUUUUCGGAAAACUUUUUUUUCAAAUUUUAUGAAAAACUAGCAUUUUAGCUUUUCUAAAAAAAAAAAUCUGAAAAACAGAAAUAUUAAUUUGCCAUGAAGUUCUGAAAACAAAUUUUCAAAAUAGUUAGUUUUCCGUGAAAAACUUAAAAAGAGAUUUUCUAUAAAAAACUUUUUUCUCAGAAAUUUUUUUUCCACGUUUUUUCCACAAACCAAACACCCCCCUAACGCAAUUUACUCUAGGAGUACAUUUGAAAUAACUUAAAACAUUAAAAAAAUAUUUUUAAUAUUAGCCUUCUAAGAAAGGUAAAUAAAAAAGUCACUAGUUUUUUCCAAAGCAAACAAGCAAUUGUGCCUUUAUUUUAACAUAACAUUUCUUGAUACAACAAGUAACUGAAAAAAAUAGAAGGUCGUUCUAACAGUGCAUUACAGUAAAACUAAAAGAUUAUAGUAUAAGAAGCCCGACUACUACACUAUCGAUACUAUUAAGCACUUGGCACUAUCGAGUUUUCCACAGUUAGAUCUACCCCUUCGACAAUUUUCACCCGUUAGAUCAUACUAUGCAACCAACAACUCUAUGGAACUACUGUCAUCCUAACUGCACAUCUAUUCAUAUCCAUGCAUCUAAGGGCCAAAAAUCUAGUAGCACAAAGCGCUUGAUUCUAGUAAUAGUAUAGGAGCCUAAUUCACAUUACAAGAACAAUUCGAUAUGGAUCCCAAAUAGAAAAAAAAAACACAUAAUAAGUAGAUAUUUCAGAACUGCGUUUCGAUCUGAAUCCACCGGCCAAGUUUGAAGCAUGGCUGAACCGCGCCAUUGAUGGCUAACAAGAAUUGCUGAUGGAUUUCUCUUUCUUUGUUUCUGGUCAGCUACCUGAAAGGAAGCUUUGCUCUCGACCUUCUCGGCUGUUUCCCUUGGGAUGCCAUCUACAAGGUAAUAACACAAGAUCAAUCUUAUUACCCAGAUAAAUAAACAAAUAACUAAAUCGAAUCUUUAGUUGUAGAACACAUCGUAAAGUUUUACGCAAGUCACUUAGCUUUAAUUGUUGAAUUUGGAUCAUUCCAUGCUAAUUUAUUCAUUUUCUUGAGAGGAUGGAGGAUAAAGCUGAUGUAAUAGUCCUAUUAUAUCGUCUCGGAGAGAUAAUAUGAGACAAGUAACUUUUUAGUUGCCAUAUCACAUCUUGAUUAUUACUACAGGGGCUAAUGUGUCAGGCAUGGAUUGACUUGUGCGGUACAUUACCAACAUAUCAGUAGUAAUUAGAGAUAUGCAUUUGCGAAAGAUGAUCUAUCGAUAGUCAGAAUAAUUUUGAGGACGACUUCGCUGUUAAAUCACCUUUUACAUCAUCACCAAGUUAUCUCCCAGAUAGUAAGUUGCAUUAACUAUCGGAUUGUCCCUCUAUUAGAAAACUUAAAUUAUUUGACAAAGCAUCCUGAUUAAAACAUAGAUUUUAAAAAAAUAACGNUUUUUUUUUUUUUUUUUUUUUUUUUUGUACAAAGCAAAUCCUUGUAGGCUCUAAUUUACUCUUCAAAAUUUUUGAAAUAUUUUGUAUUUCUCUAUUUUUAAAAAAAAUAUAGCUCUUGUAUAUUUCUUCAUUAUUCAAAAAUAACCUGCUAUUAUCCGUUAAUUCAUCUCGGAUUAAAUCCAGAUUAAAUUCUACCAGAUUAAAAAAAAAAAUCAAAAUACCUCUUUUGUUCCUCACUUAAGGACAAAUAAAAAAAUUUGGUGAUGGUAAAAAGAUAUAUUUAAAAAGAAAAAAAUCAAAAUAUUUUUUGAUGUAGAGCUAUUAUGCUAUCGGAAGUAUAGAGGACCUGAUGUUUCCAACUUUUCAACCAUUGGAUUAAAAAUUAUACGGUUGAAAUGAUUGCGGUCCUUCCAGAAUUGAGUAGUACCUCUAGGGUUGAGUGGUCCCAUAGGUUAAUAGUACUAAUCUAAAGAUUAAAAAUGAUUAAAGGGAUUGAUCUAAGGACCAAAAAUUAGGAAGUACCAGAUUCUAUAUACUUCCGAUAGCAUAAUAGCUCUACUCAUAUUUUUUUGUCCUUUAUUCAAGGACAAAUAAGAAAAAUUGGUGACGUCACAAGGGUAUAUUUGUAAGAACAAAAUAGUAAUUUUAUAGAUAUAACAACUACUUCUAACGGUUCUAUAAGGAACUGUUUGAUUCGUUGGAAAAGCGUGAAAAAACAUUUUCAGGAAAAAAAAUUUUCUAUGAAAAACCUCUUUUUUAGUUUUUUUCUUUGUUUGGUUUUUAAAAAUAAGCGUUUUCCGAAAACUCUUUUUUUCAAAUUUUAUGAAAACUAGCAUUUUAGUUUUUCUGAAAAAAAUCUGAAAAACGAGAAUAUUAAUUUCCCUUGAAAUUCCAAAAACAAAUUUUCAAAAUAGCUAGCAUUUUACUUUUUUCCACGCUUUUUCGACAAACCAAACACCCCCUAACGAAAUUUACUCAAGGAAUAUAUUUGAAAUAACUUAAAAUAUUAAAAAAAUAUUUUUAAUAUUAACCUUCUAAGAGGGUAAAUAAAAAAGUUGCUAAUUUUUUCAAAAGUAAAUAAGCAAUUGCACCUUUAUUUUAACAUAACAUUUCUUGAUACAAGAAGCAACCGGAAAAAAAAAAAAAAAGAAAAAAAGUCAUUCCAACAGUGUAUUACAGUAAAACUAAAAGAUUAUGUUAUAAGGAGCCAGGCUACUACACUAUCGAUAGUAUCAAGCACUUGGUACUAUCGAGUUUUCCGCAGUUAGAUAUCGAGUUUUCGCAGUUAGAUCUACCCCUUCGACAAUUUUCGCCCGUUAGAUCAUACUAUGCAACGAACAACUCUAUGGAACUGCUAUCAUCCUAGCUGCACAUCUAUUCAUAUCCAUGCAUCUAAGGGCCAAAAAUCUAGUAGCACAAAGCGCUUGAUUCUAGUAAUAGUAUAGGAGCCUAAUUCACAUUACAAGAACAAUUCGACAUGGAUCCCAAAUAGAAAAAAAAAACCAAAAAAAAACACAUAAUAAGUAGAUAUUUCAGAACUGCGUUUCGAUCCGAAUCCACCGUCCAAGUUUGAAGCACUGCUGAACCGCGCCAUUGAUGUCGAACAAGAAUUGCUGAAGGUUUUCUCUUUCUUUGUUUCUGGUCAGCUACCUGAAAGGAAGCUUUGCUCUCGACCUUCUCGGCUGUUUCCCUUGGGAUGCCAUCUACAAGGUAAUAACACAAGAUCAAUCUUAUUACCCAGAUAAAUAAACAAAUAACUAAAUCGAAUCUUUAGUUGUAGAACACAUCGUAAAGUUUUACGCAAGUUACUUAGCUUUAAUUGUUGAAUUUGGAUCAUUCCAUGCUAAUUUAUUCAUUUUCUUGAGAGGAUGGAGGAUAAAGCUGAUGUAACAGUCAUAAUAUAUCGUCUCGGAGAGAUGAUAUGAGACAAGUAACUUUUUAGUUGCCAUAUCACAUCUUGAUUAUUACUACAUGUGCUGAUGUGUCACGCACAGAUUGACUUGUGCGGUACAUUACCAACAUAUCAGUAGUAAUUAGAUAUAUGCAUUUCCUAAAGAUGAUCUAUCGAUAGUCAGAAUAAUUUUGAGGACGACUUCGCUGUUAAAUCACCUUUUACAUCAUCACCAAGUUUAUCUCCCAGAUAGUAAGUUGCAUUAACUAUCGGAUUGUCCCUCUAUUAGAAAACUUAAAUUAUUUGACAAAGCAUCCUGAUUAAAACAUAGAUUUUAAAAAAAUAACGAAAGAAAGGACAACAACAGAUUAAUUGUACUAAUAAAUGAAAAUGACACUUUUGUCUCUAAAUACCUAAACUACCAAAAUUUUAUUCUCAAAAAUCAACCUCACAUUGGAUAUCAAGUAAAACAAGAAUCUUGGAAGAACUUGAAACUCCGAACCUCUUACUCUCACCAUGUAGUAAAAUAACCAUGUCUCGAAGCUCAAAGUACCAUUAACAAUAUCUUGACAUGCUUUCAUAUUCAACAGCACACGCAUUUUCCACCUAUCCUCUGAGAAAUUUUAAUGUAGUUGCCGAAUCAGCUUCUACAUCAUCACCAAGUCAUCUCCUAAAGAUGACGUGACACUUGAAUCAACAGACAACUAUCAAAGCGUCCCUUGCUACCAAAAAUUUCAGUCAUGUUUGACAAAGCAUUCUCAAUUGAAAUAGAAAUUAAAGUCGUGAUCCAACUGCAGCAUAUUUAAGUUCAAUGACCUAAAUAAUUACCAUUACAAAAAAAAAAAAAAAAAAAAAAAAAAAAAAAAAAAAAAAAACUGAAACUUAUUCCACUACUUAUUGUCCUCACUUUAUGAUUAGGGAACGGGUCGCAUAGAGCUCAUCCGGUACUUUCUAUGGAUCCGCAUAUACCGAGCGAGGAAGAUCAUGGACUUUUUCAAGAAGGCCGAGAAGGACAUACGCAUAAACUAUCUAUGCACGCGGAUUGCGAAGCUGAUCAUGGUGGAGCUCUACUGCACCCACACUGCCGCAUGUGUGUUCUACUACCUAGCUACCACCGUGCCCCCGCCGCAUGAGGGCUCCACGUGGAUCGGGAGCUUAACAUUGGGGGAUUAUAGGUAUAUCAACUUUAGGGACAUGGAUUUCGCUACGCGAUACAUUACCUCACUCUACUUCGCCAUUGUCACCAUGGCCACCGUCGGUACGUAUUGGGUACUAGAGUUUUGAUAGAAGACAAAGAUGUAUGGGUAGCUGCACUAUCAUGAUAUUGCAACUUGGUUACUGUACUUUUUACUUGAACAUAAUUAGUUGCAAAAGUACUUUUCUCGGAGAGUGGCUUCCACUUUGAAGUCACUGCAAAGAGGGUUAAAAGGUCAUUUUACAAUCAAUGGUGGGGUUAAGUGCAUUUUAUCUGAAAGGAACCAAUUUGCAAAUAUCGGGACAGUGCAAGGACUACCCAUACAUUUUACGCACUCUUAUCGAUGCCUCAUGCUUGUUCUCACACUCACACAGAACAAAAGGAACGGUGUUUGUUUGAUCUUUGGUUCCUGAAAAUGUUUCUCUGCCCCAAAAAAAUAACAAUCAAAUAUUUAGUAAAUGACUAGUACGUUACCUUAGCAGAGAGUUAAAAUAAAAUUUCAAACCCUUGAAGCAAAUGUUUCAAAUCAAAACUUUUCUUUCUACAUAGGUAGGUCAAAAAGGCACAAACAGUUUUGCUUAUCCUAGCAUCUCUACUUCAGGAAGUAGCAAUUGAAUAUUUGACAAAUAAAAGGUUUGGAGCCUCUGCUAUGGUGAGGAAGCUGAAUAAUAGAGCCCGAGAAGCAAAAGCUUCAAUUUGAAGUUUGUGCUUCUAGUACAGAAAGAAGCAAUUGGGGGUUUCACUAAGAAAACUAUUGAUGUUUCUUUGAGCGGCUCUAACAAGAAAUUUUGCAGAAGCUCCAGCAAUGGUAAAUGGACCUGAAACUGAGUUUGUCAAUUUGUUGCAUAGGUAGGGCCAAUUGUGCGUAAUUUUGGAUCUAGGUUGAAUCCCAGGCCAGUUUACAUCCAGUUCAACAUAUGUUUUGUUAUCUUGACAAAAUUUAAGUCAAGCCUAAUUUAUAAAUCUGAUUCCUUGUGUUAAUUGCCAAAAUGUAGGCUAUGGUGACAUACAUGCGGUGAACAUGAGAGAGAUGAUAUUCAUUAUGAUCUACAUCUCAUUCGAUAUGAUACUUGGUGCGUACCUGAUUGGUAACAUGACUGCGCUGAUCGUAAAGGGGUCAAAGACUGAGAGGUUCCGCGACAAGAUGACCGAUCUUAUCAAGUACAUGAACAGGAACAAGCUUGGCAAGGAGAUCAGGUCCCAGAUCAAAAACCACCUCCUACUACAUUAUGAAAGCAGCGACACCAAAUAUAGUGUAGUUGAAGAUAUUCCAGUCGCCAUCCGAUCAAAGGUGGUAAUUUCCCUGUAUGGAUGAUGAAGUGUUAGAGAAUAACAAUACUUGCAUCACUAAUCCCGAGAUGCAUUUAGUUGUAGCUCUUAGGAUUAAAAUUAUAUGAAAAAAGAGAUCUAAUUUGCAACUUAGGUUUCUUGUUACAUUUUCUUUGUGAGAUUUUCAUUCGCUUCUUGCAGACGCAGAAGAAAAAUAAAAGAAACAUUUUUUAGUAAAAGGUCUGAAUCUGCACAGAAUAAAACCCUCCUAGGUCGAAAACAUUAGAUUGUACUCUUAUGUUCAUUGUUUGUUGAGAAAAAAUAUGGAAAGAAAUACACACCAAAUUUACAACAAAUAUUUUUAGAAACUCAAAGUGUAUAAGUUCAUAAUAUAAUACUGGAUAGGUUUUGUUACUUUUUAAAUAUUUGAGUAUUCAACUUAACAACAAAGAUAUGUUUAACCAACUUUAACUUUGCUUUCUGAAUCUUACAUUUUGACAGAUCUCCCAGACGUUAUUCAUGGACAUUGUACAAGAGGUCCAACUUUUCAAAGGGUGCUCAGAUGAGUUCCUAAAUCAGAUUGUAAGAUGAAAUAUUCCUCAAGAUUUUGCUGUAGUUUGUACUUGCUCUCAAAGAUGCAUUCGCAUUACCUCUUAUGAGUAUAUAAUGUGGUUUCUCAUAGGUGAUGAAGUUAAAUGAAGAGUUCUUUCUACCAGGAGAAGUAAUCCUAGAGCAAGGAAGUGCGGCCGAUCAAAUCUACAUCGUAUCCCAUGGAAUUUUGGUACUAUUUUCUCAAAAUGUUCUAUGAUAUUGACAAAUCAUUGGUUCCAAGUAGAAGGUUUGGUGUUUAGGGUCUGUUGAUGGUCAUAAACCAAAGCAAUCAUAGUUUGGGAAUGUUUUCCUAUCAUAGGAGGAAGUGGCUAGUGGAAAAAGUGGAUGCGAGGAAUCAAUCGCAGAACUGAAGCCUUAUGAUGUGUUUGGCGAUGUCGCCGUGCUAUGCAAUACUCAACAACCCUACACUGUUCGAGUUUGCGAGCUAUGCAAGCUUCUACGGAUUGAGAAACAGUCAUUAACGAGCAUCUUUCAACUUUACUUCAAUGACAGUCGCAAAGUACUUAGCAAUCUACUAAAGGUAUGAUGUUUUUCAGUUCUUUUUGCUGCAAAAAGUAGAAUACAUUGUUUUUAAUUUUUAGUUUUAAAGUAUGAUUCUAUGGGCAUUUUCUGCAUUUAAGGGAAAAGGGACUGCUUUAAGAAUCAAGCAUUUGGAGUCAGAUAUCACAUACCUGAUUGCAAAGCAAGAGGCUGAGCUUGUAUUGAGAGUCAACAAUGCUGCUUAUCAUGGUGAUCUGUACGCUUUGAAAGGCCUCAUCAAUGCAGGAGCAGAUCCAAAUAAAAUCAACUAUGAUGGAAGAACGGCACUAGUAUGUUCAUUUUCUCAGCUAACAAAUUACUUAGCACUCUACUGAAAUUAGUUAAAGAGAGUGAUGCACCUUCAUUGGGAUUUCCAUUCCACAAUUACACUUUUAGCAUAAAAUAAAAAUGAAUUUAAGUUCCCCAAAGUUUGUUCUGCAGACUAGAUAGAAGGGGCACAUGAAUUCAUUUAGUUGUGUCAUUGAGCAUGGAUAAGUAUAUUACAUCAUAGAAAAGUGAACACACUGAUUCAUGUAAAUGACCACUUGAAACUUACAACCAUUUUUCAUUGUUGAAAUGGAAAAAUUGAAAAUAAGUAUGGAGAUUCGCAAUCAUACAGCAGUAUUAGAUAAUUCACUAUCUAUUUUUCUUCUUUGGCAAAUAGCAUGUGGCGACAAGCAAAGGACAUGAAGAGAUUGUGAAGUUCCUUGUUCAAAGAGGAGCUAAUGUCAAUUGCAUAGGUAGGAUAAGACAAAGCCAAAAUAACUUUUUUUUUCCCUUUAUUUAUCUCAUUAUGUUCAUCAGUAUUCAUGGAUACCCCAUAAUCGUACAGAUAAAUUUGGGAGCUCACCAUUGUUGGAAGCUGUAAAAGCUGGACAUGAUAGAAUUGCUGCUCACCUUGUAAAGAACAGAGCAAUUCUGAAUUUGGAAGAUAAUGGAAGUUAUCUCCGUAAAAUUGCAACCGAAAGUAAUAUCAGCACUCUCCGAAGAUUAUUAGAAUAUGGAGUUGAUCCAAACACCAAAAAUUAUGAUCUGAGGACACCACUUCACAUUGCAGCAGCAGAGGGACUACACCUUGUUGCUGCAGUAUUGUUAGAAUUCGGAGCAGAUGUUCUUUCUAAAGAUAGGUAUUGUACUUUGCUCAUUUCCCAUAUUCAAAACCAAGGAGCAAAUCUUAUUGUUAUUUAGCUCUAUUUUCUUCUACAUUUUUUAGCACAUUUUAGUGUCUAGUAACUUUCAGCUUCCAAACAACAAGACAUAUAAAGGGCAAUUUCAGAACACCUCAAGUUUCUUAUGUUUUGUGCAAUACUAGAGCUACUUGCUUUCUAUAAAGAUGAUAUUUAUUCUGCGUUUUUGACUUGUUGGCUAUAGAUGGGGAAACACACCGCUCGACGAAGGACGGAGAUGCGGGAGCAAGCCGCUACUGCAGAUUUUGGAGCAGGCUAGAGCAAACCUUACAUGCAACCGAUGAUAAGAUGGCUGCGCAAGAGAAGCCUCAUCCUCCAAGAACCAAUUAAUUGUUCUACAAAUUCAUCUGCUGUAAUGACUAAUCAAAACUUGUUCUUUUCCUACACCUCCAAAGACAAUAAUCUUCCCACCACUCUCAAUUAUUAAUCCUCCUGGAAAGGAAAUAAGUUCAUUUGAUCUAUUUUGGCCAAUCAAAAAUAUGAAACCAGUGAAAUAAUCCAAUAAAACAGAGUAUAUUACCCUAUUGAUUCAACGAUGUGAAAUGUUUUGGUUCAUAAAGUGCCAAUUCACAGGCCUAGCCAAACUCUUAUCACCACAAAUUCUGAACGAAUAAAGAAAUAUUUGCUCGAAUACCAACAGUAAACAGGUUGAGUCCAAAUUAAUAGAUAGAAACUCUUUGCUGCUGCUAGAAUAAACCACUAAGAUCUAAAUAGCUCUAAGUUGCAGAUAUAUAAAGCCUUUCAAGAUGAGGAGCUAUAAUUUAGUACUAUCAACUAGGAUAGAUAAGCACCAAUCUUGAAAUUUCAGAAUAUAUAGGUCGAAAGUAGAGAGAAGUCUUCAUGUAACAGUUAUGAGAAUGUGGGAAGUAUCACAAGGCAAUAAAAAAUCAGCAUACACGCUAAAAGCCAUUAAAAUUGUAGUUCUUUUGCUACCUAUUCUCCCUAAAAUGUUCUUAACCUUAUAUAAACUCACAUCACACUGCAUGUCAACUUUUCAUUCGCUUGUAAUACUACCUGUAUUUCAUUACAGUAUAUCCUUCCGUUCUCCAAUAAAGCAAUCUAAACUUGCAACACCAGAACUUGGAAAUGUUUGGGAAAAUAUUACCUGAUUGUAACAUCUUUCAUUAGAAAGUCACUAUACGUCUUAAACAUGGAUUUCCUCACCGGUACACCACCUUGUGCAGGUCUGCUAUGUAGUCUGCCGACAUCAGUACAGACUCUAGGCUGCUGAGAGCUUGCCAACAUGUUGCAUUCUGCUAGAGGUAUUCCACAAUGGCAGAAAGCGUUGGGGGAACGAACUUGCUCAUCGAAGUGGUGCGGAGACAGUAUUCAAUCCAAAUCCGAAAAAUAACUUAAACUCAUGUAAUCCUUUUCCCAGUUACUGUCAAAUUCCAUUACAAUUUUCUACUUCAUUUUUCUUCUCCUUCACACCCACGGCUUGAACCCCCCGCAGCACUCUAAACUCUAGUCACUUCUCUUGACGCUCAUCACUACUGUCAAAGCUCUUCUCAGGACUACGGCACAACUGUGAAUCACCAAAGAAUCUUUGCAAAAGCAUUAUAGAAGCAUCAUCAAAAGCCUGAGCUCCAGCGUAAUGCUUAUACCAUGCAGGAAGCAUCACAAGCCAAAAAAAGCUUGGCAUAGCAUAAAAAUCCCCCGACAUCAUACUUCUUUCAGCAGUCAUUCUGUUAAAAUAGCCCAAACAUACUCUUUUUGGCACUUAUUCCUCCCAAAAUUUCCUACCUCAAUAUCAUAUCACAUUCACAUAUAAAUUUUUCAAUAGCUCGUGAUACUAAUUACAUUAUAAAUCAUUCAAAUGUAAGUUGAUAGUAAUAUUAACAAAGCAGAAAUUACUAUUGACAAGUAAUACAUUGGAUUUUAGCAAAUAUUCACGUGAUAAACUUGAUCGGUUUUAAUGAAUCUACUUUGUCGCUAAUAAUUUCUACCCGCUAAUAUCACUGCCCAUAUAUGAGGAUUUCUCUAAUUCGAAAGGUCACAACAUGCGAUUCCAUAACUUGAAAUGUAUGAGUUGAUAUAAUGUGAUUGUUAUAGCCAACCAACACCUCCCAUAAAACUACUGAAUAUAACCAUCCAAAACACCGUUCUCUAUCAGCUUUAAGCUUUUUUGAGAUAAACUGUUGUUUUAUAUGGGAUCAGAACAGGUCCUGUUCUGUGUUCGAAUCCCAUCAAAACAAAUUAACUCGAAACAAACAAAGCAAUUUACGAAUAGAAUCAAAUCAAAUUAAACCAAAUCAAAUCAAAUCAAAACAAAACAACCAGUGGUGAGGGCUUAAAUCAUACCAACUCUCCUAACUCCGGAUUACCCUAAACACCCCCCCUCCGGAGAUAGAGCAUGGUAGUGCCCACCACCACCACCAUUUCCAUCCAUGGAGGAGAUCGAGCUCGCGAAACAGUAGCUCUAAUGGGGUUAGGGUUUCGGCGGAGAGGGAGGUCGGGAUCCCUCCGAGAAUUGCGGGAGAAAAUGGAGGAGCGAAUCAAUCUAAAUUAAGUCAUAAAAUUUAAAUAAAAGAUCAAAAAACUUUACAUUUUGGUCCAACUUAGAAUUUUGAGGAUAAUAUAAACAAUAUCUAAAUUUAGGAGGGUGCUUAUGCAAUAAUCACUAGUGAUGCUCCCUCUGGAAACUUCUCAGGUUGAACGCGAGUGACCGUUUAAUUAUUACCGGCAAUCGCCCGUUCCCGCUCGAAGCCUCUCGAUCUCUCCACCCUAGUCAUCAACCCAGGGCCUGGAACCUUCUCGUCCCCCAUUACUACCGCCACGUGUCGGUCCACCCCUCCGACCCCUCCAACGGCUAUAAAUUCCCCACCCAUCGAACUUAGUCGAGCACGAAUCUCCGCGACGCCUCCUCUUCGAAAGCGAACGAAACGAUGAGACGAUCCGUUGCCUUCUCCGUUACCGUUAUCUUGUUGCUGCUGCUGCAGCUGCUAACUCUAGCGCCGUUAACGGUCGGUUCGCUGCUGACGUGGCUGGACCGGCCCGGGAGUCCGGUCCCGGACCGGGUUCUCGCCGACCCGUUCCGGAUCCUGGAGCAGGUGCCCUUCGCGCUGGACCGGGAUGACGUGGCGAUGGUCGACGUGGCGCGCGUGGAUUGGAGGGAGACCCCCACGUCCCACGAGAUCAUCAUGGACGUACCAGGUAAGAGCAACAAAGACACACACACACUAUUGUAAAACUUAUCUCACCUAUCACAUUUUUAAAUUAAAAUAUUUUAAUUUUACUAUCUAAUUUAUAAUUUAAUUAAUAUAUGAUCAAAUUUAAAACACCUACGCUUAUUCAUUUCUCUUGGUUUUCUCUACACGCGAAGGUAUAAAAAGAGAGGAGCUGAAGAUAGAGAUAGAGGAGAACAGGAUCCUCCGCGUCAGCGGCGAGCGAAGGCGAGACGACGAGAAAAAGGGGGAGCACUGGCACUGCAUCGAGCGGUCCUACGGCAAAUUCUGGCGCCGGUUCCGGCUCCCGGACAAUGCCGACCUCGACUCCGUCACCGCGAAGCUCGAGGACGGGGUCCUCACGGUGAGCCUCAAGAAACUGGCCCCUGACCAGAUCAAGGGCCCGAGAGUAGUGAGCAUCGGCGGCGGGGAGAGCGAGGGCAAGGGCGAGGAGAAGAAGAAGAAGAUUACCGCCGCCGACGCAGAAAAGAAAGUUGAGCUAUGAAUAUAUAUAUAUAUAUAUAUAUAUAUAUAUAUAUAUAUAUAUAUGCGCAUGAUGGCUUUGGUGCCUUUGUUUUGUCCAUGCUGUACUGGUGUGAGUGAUUACCAUCGAAUAAUAGUGUUAUCGUAAUGCAGGUUUGUGCCUGUUGGUAUAGUAAAAUUGUUGUAAUGUAUUAAAAAAGAAAGAAAAAAAAAAAAAGAGUAACUUCUAUUGUGAAUCCUUAGUCUAGUUGUUUUUAUUUUUGCUAAUUUUCUCUUUUUGAAACCUUAAAACCUCGCUGGGGCCUUUUGCAAUAAAAAAUUCACUUAUUUUGGGCUUGGUUUUGCAAAAUCGCGGCCCACCUUUUUCGAUUUUUACAGAUUCGGUCCACUGUUUCAGCAAAGUGACCAAAAAUAAAACCAUUUAUUAUUUUUGUCUCUUUCCUCUUUUUGUUUCUUCUCGUUCGUUUCUUAUUUUCUUUGGCCUCCCAUCCCGAUGCCACUUCUCCCCGCCACUACCGCCCCCUUCUCCUCCACUCCCCUCCCCCCCGACACCAAGGUCUAGCAACCUCCUCCUCCAAGCGCUGCUCAAAGGCUCGCCGAUGGUUGCGCUGCCUGCGAGCUCUGGCUCGACAUGGAGACGCUAACGCGCGUCCCAAAGACCUCGGGACUCGCUAAAUCCGUCUACAUGACGCCCGCGGUCCAAGUCCGCAAGCCCUGGAACGCCGUCCGAUCUCUUCAGAAGGAGAUGUCCACGAAGUUCGCCCCCGACGGCGCCGUCGCCUACAACACGGCCAUCCACGCACCUUGGAAAUCUUUAUCAACGCCGCGUCCCGCCCGCUCUAGGACGGGGGGCGGGGGGGCGCGGGGGAGGGCGCUGGUCCGGGAGUGCACAAGCCGCGCGCGGGGACCGGUCAGCGCGGGGCCAGUACAGAGCGCGGGCGGCGGCGGGCGGCACCCGGACCAGGCUUGCGCGCUCCGGCUUCUUUACAUUCUUCAAUGUGUAAUGGUGCACCAUUAUACCAUUAAUGGUACCCAUUACACCAUUAAUGGUGUAAUUUCAUCAUUACACCAUUAAUGGUGUAAUGGUGCACCAUUAAUGGUGUAAUUACACCAUUACACUAUUAAUGGUGUAAUGGAGCACCAUUACACCAUUAAUAGUGUAAUGGUGCUCCAUUACACCAUUCAUUACACCAUUAAUGGUGUAAUGGUGCACCAUUACACCAUUACACUAUUAUGAAGAAAAAGAAGCCGUGUGCACCGCAUAUCCGCCCGCCGCCGCUGCGUGCACCGGCCCUGCCGCCGACCUGGCCCCGCCCCCCGCUCGUGGUGUUCGACGAAUCGCCCGCUUCAGGGGCUUCCUGAUCCCGCGCUUCCUCGGCUUCUCCAGCAGCGACAAGGGAAUUCUCCCUCCGCGUGCGCACGGAGCGCAGCCCCCUCGGCAUGAGGCUUCGGACGAGGUCGAGCGCCGCGUCCGGGGAGUGGGGAGCGGGGUGAGGGAGCCCGGCGCGGUCGCACUAGCUGAGGAUCGCGUUCCUGAUAGCGACGUUGGGGAUGAGGAGGGGAGAGGCGGAGGCGGAGGUGGAGAGGUUGAGGGCGUGGGAGAGGCACGGAGGGGUGAAGGCGAGGUCGACGCACGCGUGGACGCAGCUCCGCUCGCGAUUGGCCGUCGCAGGCACAGCGUCACCACCGACGAGUCGCGCACUCCGACCUUGGCGCCCGACCUGAGCCGCCUCUGCUCCUUUGGCGGCCGGAGGACCCACUGUUGGCGGCCUUCCGUGCGGAUCGGGAGAGGGAGGCGGACGCGGCGUCCCUGGGGAAAAGAAAGAAAAAAGAACGAGAAAAAAAAAGAGAAGAGAGAAAAAUGUAUAAGGGUAUUUUGGUCAGUUUGCUGAAAAAGUGGACCGAAUCUGCAAAAACGAAAAAAGUGGUCCGGUUUUGCAAAAGUCCAAAAUAAGUGGAUUUUUUAUGCAAAAAGGCCAACCUGCUGUUAACCAAGCUAGAAAUGAGGCCCAGCUGGAAGAUGGUCUGGCUGAUUAUGAAAAUACUUGUGCUGCGAAGCACAUUUUGUAAUGGUCUUAUCGGAUAGCAAUAAUAAUAAUAAUUUAUCGGAUGUAAAUUAUCAAUCUAAAAUACUGUCCUAUAAAAUCCCUCCUUUUAGAAAAAUAUUUAGAAUGUAUUAAUUAUAUUAUUAAUGUGACGAUUUAAAAUUUGUGGCCGUCCAAGCCAGCCAGGAUUAUCUGAUGACCUGCAUAGUACUUUUAAUUUUUAGGCUAUGAUAACACAUAUAAUAAUCCGAUCUAUUGGCGAUUAUAUUUCAUUUUGUUCAAACUACCGAUUUAAAAUAUUUAAAUUUAAUUAUUAUUAUUAUUAUAAUAUAUUAUUUUUUAUAUAUUUAAUUAUAAUUUUGUAUUCAUUCGAUGUGAAAUUAUUAGGACUUUACACAUCUUAUGCCGGUUAUAAAAGUUAGCUUUUAAACAACAAAUUUAGAAAUAUUUGAAUCGUCUAAUCAUAUUUAACUGUGCGAGUAUUUAAAGUUGAUUGUAGUUACAAUAAGCGGGACAAAAAUUUGGUGGGCAUUCAUCCCCAAACAAUUUGUUUGGGGACGGAGCCGAUGGGCGCUGCGUGUGUACGUGCACCCAUCACCACCGCCCCUUUCUUCGUUCUCUUUCUCUCUCUUUCGAAAAAACGAAGCCCACAAAUUUUUUUCUUUUUAUUUUUUUUGCCGUUUCCAGGGCCGCGAUGGGCGCCGAUGCGGCACCCAUUGGCAUGGUCCCCGGACAAAAUUGUUUGGGGACGAUGCCCACCAAAUUUUUGUCACAAUAAGCCUAAGAGCAGAAAAUUUUUUAAAAAAUUGAAUAAUGUAAUUAUAUUUAACACUGGGUAGUUAAGCCACAUUUUCUUUUUUUUUUAGAAUGAAGCAUUUGGGCCAAUUUGCAUAAAAAAUCCACUAAUUUUAGAUUUUUGCAAAAAUGAACCACCUGACGCCUCUUCCUUUUGUAUGUCUUCUUUUUCUUUUUCUUCUCUCUCUUUUUUCUUCCCUCUCUUUCUUUUCCUUCUUCCCAUAAAAGCAGGCUACCAUUUUUUAAACCAGACUUAGACGUUUUUGUUUUUNUUCACUAAUUUUGGGCUUUUGCAAAAAUGGGCCACAUUUUUUAUUUUUACAGAUUCGGUCCGAUUUUUUAGCAAACUGACCAAAAUACCCUUGUAUCUUUUUCUCUCUCCUCUUUUUUUCUCUCGUUCUUUUUUUUUUUCUUUUCCCAGAGAGCAGCGGAGGUGUGGAAACGCCACCCCCCCUGCCCCGGCGACGUCGCCCUCGUCAGCUCCGGCCACGUCGUGGGCGACGAGCCCGCCUCCCCCACCUCGGCCUCUCCCCCGACCCCUCCUCCUACCACACCCUCGCCUAGGCCCUCUGCCGCCGCGGCCAGGCCCACUUCGCAGCCUCCCUGCUCGACGACAUAUGCUCCACUGUGGCCUCCUUCUUCUUUCUCCUUCUCCGUCAGCGCGCCAACGCGAGACGACGACAGAGGGAUGCAAACUCGGCCCGAAGCCAGUCGGAGUCGCGAGGGAGGAGCGCGGAGAGGUGGGCGGCGGCGCCGAUCCGCGCGGCGAGCUCGCGGUUCUCAGCACGGAGGCGUGCAAGGCAGCUCCAGAGCUCCUCGAGGUGGAAGAAGGAGGAAAGGAAAAGAAAAAAAAAAGAGAAUAAACCGAGGGAAAGAAGGAGGAAGAAAAAAAAAGAGAAUAAACCGAGGGAAAGAAGAAGGAAGAAGAAGAAGAGAAUAAAAAAUAAUAUAAAUUUCACCCAAAUAGUGCAACAUUCGCCUAAAAGGAGCAGAGGCGAAAUGGUGUAAAUUUUACCGUGUUUGAAACAAAAAUUGCACUAUUUCGCCCAAACUUGCACCAUUUCAUCAAAUUUUACACCAUUUCGUUCAAAAUUACACUAUUUCUCCUUCUCCUCCUCUUCCUCUUCCUUCUUCUUUUUUACACCAUUACACUAUUAUAUCGUAACAAUAAAAAUCUCUUAAAAACCGAGCCGGAUUUGCCUAUGCCGUCGACUCGCCCUAUCCGUCCUCUGCCGCCUUCGCCACUCCCGUUCGAGCACGAGAACGAUCGCCGUAUUGCGCGUGCCGCGAGCGGAUCUUCGUAUCGCAAGUGCCACAGCGGCGCUCUCGAGCCGGAUAGGCAUAGCCCUAGAUGGGGCGGCACUGUCGUGCGCCACGAAGCUCCGCGGCGGCACGCGCAAUACGGGGAUCGCUCGUGCUCGAACGGGAGUGGCGAAGGCGGCAGAGGACGGAUAGGGCGAGUCGAUGGUGUAGGCGAAUCCGGCUCGGUUUUUAGGAGAUUUUUAUUGUUAUGAUAUAAUAGUGUAAUGGUGUAAAAAAUAAGAAGGAAGAGGAAGAGGAGGAGAAGGAGAAAUAGUGUAAUUUUGAACGAAAUGGUGUAAAAUUUGAUGAAAUGGUGCAAGUUUGGGCGAAAUAGUGCAAUUUUUGUUUCAAACACGGUAAAAUUUACACCAUUUCGCCUCUGCUCCUUUUAGGCGAAUGUUGCACUAUUUGGGUGAAAUUUAUAUUAUUUUUUAUUCUCUUCUUCUUCUUCCUUCUUCUUUCCCUCGGUUUAUUCUCUUUUUUUUUCUUCCUCCUUCUUUCCCUCGGUUUAUUCUCUUUUUUUUUUCUUUUCCUUUCCUCCUUCUUCCACCUCGAGGAGCUCUGGAGCUGCCUUGCACGCCUCCGUGCUGAGAACCGCGAGCUCGCCGCGCGGAUCGGCGCCGCCGCCCACCUCUCCGCGCUCCUCCCUCGCGACUCCGACUGGCUUCGGGCCGAGUUUGCAUCCCUCUGUCGUCGUCUCGCGUUGGCGCGCUGACGGAGAAGGAGAAAGAAGAAGGAGGCCACAGUGGAGCAUAUGUCGUCGAGCAGGGAGGCUGCGAAGUGGGCCUGGCCGCGGCGGCAGAGGGCCUAGGCGAGGGUGUGGUAGGAGGAGGGGUCGGGGGAGAGGCCGAGGUGGGGGAGGCGGGCUCGUCGCCCACGACGUGGCCGGAGCUGACGAGGGCGACGUCGCCGGGGCAGGGGGGGUGGCGUUUCCACACCUCCGCUGCUCUCUGGGAAAAGAAAAAAAAAAAGAACGAGAGAAAAAAAGAGGAGAGAGAAAAAGAUACAAGGGUAUUUUGGUCAGUUUGCUAAAAAAUCGGACCGAAUCUGUAAAAAUAAAAAAUGUGGCCCAUUUUUGCAAAAGCCCAAAAUUAGUGAAUUUUCUAUGCAAAUUGGCCAAGCAUUUGCCUUUAGAUUUUAUUGUUAUUCUUUAUUUUAUUUUAUUUUUUUUUGUUGAGAGGGCCAUAGUAAGAUACUUGUUUGGUUUAUUUUUAUUUUGUUGUUGUUGUUGUUAUUGUUGAUUGUAUUUUGGUUUAAUUACAUAAUUUUAGUAUAGAUAUUAUUUAUAUAUAUAUAUAAAGAAUGAAUAAAAUUUUGAGUUUCUAUAUAAAGUUUUUUUAAAAAAAUUAAUACCCUCGAAGAAUAUAUCUGAACUUAAAAUAUUAUUAAAAUUUUUUAAUUGUUUUAUAUAAAUUUUAAUUUACUAAUCAACAUCAUCUAAUUUUCUAAUCAAUUUAAUUUUAAUUAAUGAGAGGUACUUAACAAAAUCUGAUAGAAUUUUCUCUAUUUUAAUGCUAAAUAAAAUUAUUUAAGUUGGCACAUAAAAUAAAAAUCUCUUGAAAUUCGCAAAUAAUGUUUUAAAAUUUAUUAAAUAAUUUUGGAGGAUUUUUUUCUCAAGUAAAUUUAAUAUUUAAAUAAUUUUUAUUUUCAAUUAUUAUUCAAAAUGUGGAUAAGAAAUGAGUGGAUCUCAAACUCUCAAAUGUAUGUAAGAAACUAGAUAAAAAUAAAAUAAAAUUUAAAAUAAUCCAAAAAACAAAAAAAAAAAAACCCCAGAAAAAAAUUAGUGCUCCGCUCUUCUGGAAGCUUCUUCUUCUUCUUCUUCUUCUUCCCGAAUCCCGAUAAUGGCGAGCCCCGUGUUAACUCCCCAAACCCUAAUCUCCUCCUCCGCCUCUUCGUCCUCGUUGUUCUCUUCUUCGAUCCUACUCCGAAGAGUCCACACCGCAUCGUGCCUCUCCUUGAGAUCGAGGAGAUUUGGUUCGAACCGCGGCGCCCGCUCGUUGGCGAUAAGGGCGGAGACAAUGGCGACGGAGAAGCUGGGGAUCAAGGUCGAGAGGAACCCGCCCGAUUCGAGGCUCAACGAGCUCGGAGUGAGGCAAUGGCCCAAGUACGUGUUUAGUUCCUCUAUUUUUCUUUUUUGAUCUUUUUCUCUCGUAAAUUUGUAGCCUUUGUCAUUGAUUGGAUUGGGCGUGUUCGAAAUUGAGAUCGGAGUCGAAGAAAAUUUGUGAUUUUGGUGUGUUUCCGCUCCUUUUUGAUGAGGUAUAUGUAGGAAAAAUUGGAAUUUGGGUCAAAAAAUUUGGUAGGCCGUGAAAAAUUAGGCCAAAAAAUAGGGAAUUUUUUUAUCUGGGUUUUGAGCAGGUUGUUUUUUUGGUCAAUAAGCUGUGGAAACAGUAGUUUUGGUGGUUUAUUUCGAAAAAAAGCCCCAAAAUCAUACAUUUAGAUCGGUAUUGUUAUCAUGUCGUUUGCUAAGUACUUCAAAUUCAAAAUUAGCUUAUGAUUCCUCUGACAUGUAACAAUUAAAAAAAAAAAGAAAAAAAGAAGUGCACACAAUUCCUAGUUGUAACUAAGUUCAUACGUUUAGGGGAUGUUUGGUUUUCCGGAAAAAUAUUCCAGAAAGUAAUUUUGUGGCUUGAAAAGUAUUUUUCGUUCGUUCGGUUCUUAGAAAAAAAUUAGUCUUUCUGAAAAAUCCUUUUUGGAUUGCAUGAAAAAGUAGAGCUUUUGUUUUCCGAAUUUUUUAACAGGAAAACCAAUACCGUGGAAAAGGGUGAAAAACUUCUUUCCGGAGAACCUAUUUCCAUUCUUUUCUGAGGAAAUCAAAAACCCCCUUAGGAAAAAAAACGUAGCUUUGGAGACAAAACUCGAUCGGAUUUAUGGUAGCAAGUAAGAUUGCUAUAACUGUUGGCCGCUUGUUGCCGCAUAAGCGUAAAAUUGAACUUGUGUAAGUGUAGGUUUUUUCCUUUGAUGGCGGUGUAAUCAGUAUAGCUGAUUGAAGUGAUUGGUUAGUUAUUCAUUAUAUAGCUGUUAAGAAGGAUAACUCGCGUUGUUUGCUUGGCUUAUAUCUUUGAACAUGCCUUCAAUUUGCGUUUGGAGCUCAUGUAUUGUUGUUUUUGUAGGAAAUUAUGAGGGGUAACUUCUUCAGUAGGCUUGAAGUAUUUUGGAAUAUACAAAGCAUUUUAAGCUGUUGAAAAAGGUUUUGUAAUAGCCUAACUAGACUUGAUCUUCCGUAAAUGAAAUGUGAAAAGUGAAUGGUCGCGGGGGUUUCAAUGCAAGUUUAUAGCCAGUUAAAUGCAAAUUUUUGAAUAAGAUUAGAGUGGAACGUCAAACUUGGUCUCCUCUUACUUCUUUGGCUCUUUAAUCCAUAAAUGUAGGGAACUUGGAGCUGCCCAUUAUUUGUGUUCCUUCUUUAUUCAUUCUAUGAACAUUUGAGUGUCUAAAGACGCCAUGAGAUUGAUCCGAGUUAUAUUGGCAUUUCCUGUAUGUUAUUUGUUCAUUAGGUGGGGAUGCCCUCCGAGCAAAUUCCCGUGGACGUACACGGCGAAGGAGACCUGCUACCUUCUGGAGGGGAAGGUGAAGGUCUUUCCCGACGGGCACGGCAACGACUACGUGGAGAUCCAGGCAGGCGAUCUCGUGGAGUUCCCCAGAGGCAUGAAGUGCACUUGGGAUGUCUCUGUUGCCGUGGACAAGCACUACAACUUCGAAUAGCUUAAUUGUUGGGUCGAAACGAAGUACUCUUCUGGUAUGAUGUAUGGUCUAAGAAGUAGGAGAAUUAUUCCUAAUGUGUUUACCGAGAUGCAUGUAGUUUUCUAACCUUGUGAAGUAAUGAUAUCAAGUCCGAGGGAGGCUUAUUAUCUUAUGAAUGAGCAUGAUGCAUCGAUUGCCAUAUGUCUAAUGAGCAACAUGACACAGUAGAAAUUUAAGUUAUCUAUGGUUGAACCUUCUUUGCUUAUUCAGUGAUAGAACUAGAACCAAUUCAGCAACCCACUGGGCUGGCUUUGAACUUUGGCUGUUGCAUGCAUGUAUUGUGAACAAAGAUUUGGAUAGGAGAUAGGAUUUGGCCUUUUCUUCUGGAAAUUCCACCAACAUUUACGGAUUGCAUUCUGUCGGCGGAACUUGAGAUCUCUGCUGCUGAUCACGCACUCGCAAGCAUACGAAGAUCGGCCUUUGGACUUCUGUUUUGCUCGGUGGGCACGGAGUCGAGUUUGCAUAACUCACAAACUUCUGCGUGUUUUCAACCUUAGACAUCGCAGUGGUCAAAAGUUUCAGAGCAGUUAGCAUCUAUUUGGUUCAUUCUCAACCCUUAUUCCAGAUUUUCACUUCGAUUCCCAACCUUUCGAUUUUUGCAUAUGGAUUCUCAUAGUUGGUCAUUUCAGAAAUUCUGUCCUUUUUCGACAGAAAUAGCCACUUUGGCACUAAAUCUUGUCUGCCACACCAGCACCAAUUUUUGUGUCACAUGACAAUUUUCGGUUGAUUUAAUAACAAAACCAUAGAAGUUUUAAUAUAUAUAAUUAGAGUGAUGGUCCAGUGAAAUUAUUACCCUUCCAAAGAUGUAAAAUUUGCUUGGUUGUUGGCCCCUCUCUAAAAUUUGCUUCCUUAUUUUCCCUUUCAGCAGUGAUAGUCAUUGUCAUGGCAAGGAGAGACUGAUGGCUUGUUUUAGCAGCAACUCACACACCCAUGUGGCUUCCCUAAAAGCCAUUCAUGAAGAUCUCAAAGCCAUGGUGGGUAUUCCAGAAUCCAGAUUAGUUUGAUCAGAAAACAGAUGUGGUGCUAUUAACAAAGCUAAUUUUACUACGUACGCGUCAAAUUUACCGAAUUUGUUGAAAAAAUAUUGACAUGUUCAAGUAAUGUUAUUGUCGAUAAUGAACUUGGCUCUGUUAAUAAUAUCAUCCUGUAAUUAUUCAUGACCACUUUUUAUCUCUAUUAUACAGUCAUGAUAUCAUAAAAUUUGCCAGUAUGGCUUCUUUCAUCCAAUCUCUUGUAAUUAAUUUUGCGAAUAUGUAAAUAUAAUAAUCACAGAAAGAUGCAUACUGCACCACACUUAAGAAAAAACAGAAAAGAACAAAAGAGAGAACAUUAUCUACUCCACAUAAAAGAACAACACUACUGAAACAAAUCCAUACCUGUACAUUAGUUACCACCAGUUUAUGAGGAGGAACAUGGCAAAUUAAGAUGAGAAAAAACAAGAAAAAUAAUUCCAAGCCCAACCUCCUCUUCAGCUUUAACAUCCCAGAAAAUCACUUACCUAAUUCUGCUAGGUAUGUUUUAUCUCAAAAUUGGAGAGAUAUCAUGACAAGGAAAUAAGAUGUAAGAACUAACACAAAGUAGUUAUAAACUUGCUUCCAUCAAUACCAAUCUCUAGAAUCUGCACUCCAAUGACAAAACAUCAAAUUCAUCAAAAAAAAAAAAAAAAACCAAAAAGGUAACAAUUAGAAAGACUGNGUAAUUUUUCGAAACGAAAUGAAAGAUUCGCACGGCCUCGGCCGGUCGAUUUCUGCGGACGCACACGAGUUCGCCGAAAAGGGAAGAGAAAUAAUAAAAUAAAAAAAAAAAAAAAAAAA
rnacentral:lncRNA from 1 species